UUUUUUUUUUUUUGGGGGUUUGAGAAUGGCUGGCUUUAAUUUUAAGAGUAGCAUUGUGCAACCCAUAAAAAAGAAAGUCAAAGAAACAUAGCACAGGAAGAGGAGCCACAGCAAAUAAAAGGAUUGUGAUGUGACAACAAUUCAAGUAAUUUCCUUGGUGUUUAUAUUAUCGAUAUACAAAGAGUGUUCCAUUCUUAAGAAGCACAGCAGGUCAUAGUUAGCAUAACUUGUUCAUUUCAGCCUUUGAACUGCUAGCAUGGCUUGAGUUUCCUCAUUCCACAUGUGAAAAACCCCCACCUUCAGCCUUUGUCCUGCAAACAAGCACACAAUUGACAAACAACAAAACCACAUACAUCAGUUCUUUUCUCCACUGGUAAAUAGUCUCAAAUUCUUUCGACAAGACAUGAAACUCUACAUUUUUUUUACUGAUAAACCCACAAAAAGUAACCCACAUUUCUUUGAAAAAGACCAAAUUUUCCGUUCCUCAAGGAUAACGAAAGCUUACUUGUGAUCGGAAGGAUUUGGCCUGAGUUCAUAAACAAUUGUUGCAACAACAUCCCUCUUCAACUGUUCAUCAAAGAAAAGAAAAUGAUGUAUUAGUUAUUUGCACAAUUAACGCAACAGAAUAUGCUCAUAUGGAAUGAAAUUACCUGAGUAGCCUCGCCUUUAAAGCCAAUGUACUCUAUCUUAGUUGUAUCACCACCAAAACUAUCAGGAAAAUGCAAUGUGAUGCUGGCCACGUUUUGAAACUUGGAAUACCUAAUUAUACGGAGAAAUGUUACAUUAGAGGGAUAACAGAUGGUAAAAUAAAAAUCAAACAAAACAAAAAACAACAAAAGAACUCAUUUCAGUGGCAAUUCAAAGUAAUUUACCGUCACUGUUCAAUUUGAAAAAGAAUAAGGUUUCUUUCAUUGUGCUCAAGUUUUAUAGUUUUCAUGUUCUAGAAAAUUAAACAACAUGGUUUUUGAAGUAGUAGUACUCCAAAAGGCAGUGAAUAAAUACCUUGUCUGGUACUCCAACACUCCUUGAAAAUUUUCGACCAAAUCCCACUCCUUAAAACAAUAAGAACACAUGUUUCAAGGCUGAAACGUUGAAUUUUUUCAAUUAACUCUUGAACAAGCUAAUAUGAAAGCAAUACCUGAAUGGCUUGCAUUCCUUGAACAUCUGAAAAGUCAAUGCCAUCUCGGUUGAUGAACCUAAUUAAGCAAUGCAGUCAUGUUUUUAGUUUUUUCAAAUAUAAAAAAUGUGAUCGAUAUUGAACAUCUGUCAAAGACUGAUUUGAUAUUUAUUUUGUCAGAAUCAUAUAGAACAAGACUCGUGAUCAGUACUAUUAAAGUUUGAACUUACACCCUCAUCUUGCUAGGACUUGUUCCGUCAGCACCGCCAAUAAUUGAUAUGCUCUUGAUCUUGACAUCUGAUGUAAAUCUAUCACAAAUAAAUGAAAAAAAUAUAGCUCAAUCAGAAUGUAAAGAAACAACAUCAAAGAUGACUUCAUCUAAUAAGUUGGUGUCAGAAUGGUAUGCUUUAAGAAAACUUAUCAAGAUGCCGACCAAAUGUUUGAACAAUAAAUACAACUAUAUUAAGCAUCAGAUAUAGGAGAUGAGCACAAGACAAAAGGAUAAUUAUAAAUGACACACAAAUUAACAGUUGUGUUUUGCUUUAGGUGUACCUGGAGAUGCUACUAAGGUUGAAUCCCUUACUCAAAACUCAUACAAACCCAACUAUGGAGAUCUAACAAAAUCAGACACAUAUUAUCAUUGUAAUUGAAUGAAAAGAUGGAAAAAUGUGUAAAAGUACUCAACCAAUGGAUCUACCUGAUCCCAUGCAUUUCGUAAUUAUGCAGUCUAUAACUCAUUUCAUGAAGAUAUCACAUAAAACAACAAGACGGGACACUCACGGAAUGUAAACAAGUAACUCGGGAUCACCCUCAUUGCUCUCCAAGUGUUCCUGUUGCAGAAAGUAGAAUCAAAAUGAGGCUUCAUAUGCCUAGUAAUUGAACAUAAAUUACAACCAAAAUAUAAGGUAAACCUGAACUAAAUCUCAAUCAAUGAUUCCUACAAAUUUUCGUAAAUGUCAUUCUGAGCUUUCAAGUAGAUUAACUUAUGAAGUUUGGAUCAUUACUUUUAACAAGGACGUAUAGAGAAGUAAAUAGAUAGCUCAUUACCCCAGUAGAAUUCAGCCGUUGCUCCCAAGCUUUAAAAACCGACUUGACACUUCCUGGAACCGCCUCAUUCAAAGCCGAAACCUAAAAACAGAAUAAGACAUUCUCUCAAGGAGAACACGUCAUCAUGUCAAUCAGCAAGAGGAAGCUCCAACGAAAUAUUAAUUUACAAAAUAACAAAGUGUGAAAAUAUUGCAAAGUAUAAAUCACCCCACAUCAACAAUCAUCAAUUACCAGUCAUAUAGCCACCCACAACCAAACUGCCCAAACCACAACACACAAGCACCCGUCUCCCAAAAAAAAAAAAAAAAAAGUUUCUAAACAUUUCUGGAAACUAGCAAUAACAGCAUCUGCAUGGAGUAUCAUUAACAAAGCUUCAUAUCCAACUAUUUUCAUUUACAACCAAGAAGCCUACACAUAAGAACCAUUAUGCUUACGGAUAAAUGCUUAUGAGAUUCAGCAUUUGAGCUUGAGGGUUUAUGUUGAUCACUGUUCUUUCAACUAAUUUUCAUUUGGGCACUUCCAGAUAAAACCAAAACAAUCACAAAAUGGGAGCAGACUGAAACGUACCAGUAUACGCAGAGCAGCAGUGUGAUAGCUAACAACGAAAACAUAGGAAUAGAAAAAUUAAGACUGAGCAAAGAAAAAGGCAGAGAAAUAGGACCUUGGGGAGGUCUAUAUGCUUGUAGAGAGACCAAUCAGAAGAACAAUCAUGCUCUUCGCAGCUGUGGUCAUGUAAGCAAGCCAUCUCUCUCUUUCCCUGGAUCACCAAAUUUCUAAGAAGCAGCACAAAAAGGCGAAGAAGAAAUAGAAGCAACCAGAAAUAGGGAGCGAACCGUGGCUUUUUCUGUGCAUAGUGCCGAAAAGGCCCUUGUAUCGGUACAAUAAAACGCACCGUUUACCUGUACAUAUAUGUCCUUUUAGGCUUUUACUGUGAAAUGCAAACGAGACUGUUUUCGCAAAACUUUCUUCUUUGCUUUCAUUUGGGAAGUUCAGCUCUGAGCUCUGUGAGAGAUGGAGGAAAUAGUAGAAGGGGACGGGUCGGGUGCGGGCAGAUACACGCUGAGACCAACGAGGCUAAGCAACGAGGACAUUCUGUUCUGUAUAGAUGUUGACCCAGAGUCUAUGGUGGAGAUGAAAGCCGCGAUGGGCCCAAAUGGGCGACCUUUAACCCGCUUGGACUCGAUCAAGCAAGCCAUACUUGUCUUCAUCAACGCCAAGCUCACCAUCAACCCAGAGCACCGAUUCGCCUUUGCCUGUCUCGGAAAGUCCGCGUCUUGGGUAGGUUCUCUCUGUUCAUCUCUCUCUUUAUUGCUUGGUUUCUGUUCGGUUUCCGAGAAAAUUUGCGAUCAAGGGCAGAGGAUUUUAUGGUUAUUAUGUGUUUUUUAGGAAUUGAACUCCUGGAAACCAUGAUUAUGGCUUUGGGUCAUAGUUUUGAGGUUUUUUGUGAUAUAUACGGUUAUGGGUAGAUUAAAAUUUUCAUUUGCAGGAAAUGUAAGCAAUUGCGUGCCAUGAAUUUGGUUUCUGGAUGAAUCAAUGAAGGAAAAUUAGUUUAAAUCACUAUUUUCAAGUAGCCCAUUGUACAGAGUCUCACCAAGUCAAAAACGUUUUGAUAGCAUGAAAGAGUUUAGACAGAAGUGUGAAACCCACGAUACAAUAUGGGGUUGCUGUGCAUGUAUAUUUAUAAGAAGUACUACGUCGGUAAACAAGAUUUGGAUAUGAACACUACUACUGAGGAGGCUUAUCAGAGAAUACUAAUGAUGAACCCUUGAAAUAAAAUACAUGAUAAAUAUAAACAGAUAAACACGUGAGGAAACUAAGCAGGUAGCACUUCUAUCAGUUUUCCUUUGAUUAAGCUUUGGUCACUUUUAUUGAAUGCGGGUGAGAAAUCAAUUCCUUUACUAUCUGUUAAGGAGAUUUCGGAUCUUGAUCAUAGUUUCAAAGUGUACUUUCCAAGAAUCAUCCGCAUACCUUGAUCAUUUUUGGUCCUAGACUUAUUUUAUGGGGUGCAGUACCAAGAAUCGUUCACAUACCUUGCUGUAGGGUUGAGUUUUGAUGCAUGAUAUGCAUAAUUAUCAUGCAAAUACCCCAUUAGUAGUAAAUAUUUAUGCAGUGUAAGCAAACCUUCUGCAGGUCUUUGUUCAAAACACUCAAUUUAUCCUUUGUGUCUGUUUGUUUGAUUUAUGUUUCUGUAAUUGAUUUGGAACCUUUUGUUUUUCGUUUUUAUGAAGCUUCGGAAAGAGUUUAGCAGUGAAGUCGAUUCUGCUAUUGCUGCAUUUCGAGUACUCUCAGCUACUUCAUCUUCUAGUAAUGCAGAUCUUACCAGUCUAUUUCGAGUAGCAGCUCAUGAAGCAAAGAAAUCUCGUGCUCAAAACAGACUUUUAAGGGUGGUAAGCAAUGGUUGGCUUAACUUUUCAUGCAAUUACAUUGGUUAAUUAUUACAUCCGUGCCAUUGUGAUAUUCCAUCUUAUCCCUUCCAUGAUGUUGAAAUUUUUGUGUGUUGAUUGCUAAAGGCUGACAUGCUUGCCCUUAGAUUCUUAUUUACUGUAGAUCAUCUGUAAGACCAAAUCAUCAAUGGCCUGUGAACCAGAAACUCUUCACUCUGGAUGUAGUUUACCUUCACGACAAGCCUGGACCUGAAAACUGCCCUCAAGAGGUCUAUGAUUCACUUGUGGAUGCCCUGGAACUUGUUAGCGAAUAUGAGGGCUACAUCUUGGAGAGCGGUCAGGGAUUAACUCGAGUUCUCUUCCGUUACAUGUGCAUGCUGCUAUCACACCCUCAGCAGCGUUGCCCACAAGACCAUCUGGACAUACCUAAGCCUCUUGCGAAAAAGUUGCCGGCAGCAGAUUCAACGACUACUGAUGAUAGUAUUAUAACUGUGUCCGGCAUAUCAGAAGUUCAGAACAUUAGAAAUUAAUUUUACUGAGGUCAUUUUGCUUCUAAAAGUCUCAUAUGUAUGUAGUUUGUCUGAUGUUGAUGUAAACCUCUUGUUGAGUGAGAAUGAGUAGCCGAUUUGAUCUUGGUCCUAUCUGUCUGUACAAAUUGUGAAUGUUAUGAAUCCCAAUGUUUAUUUUAACCUAUCUGUCGAAGAAUUUUUUAUGACAUUCAAGAUCACGUAAAAUAUAGCAAAAGCAAGAAGUUCUUAGUACUAGUUUGUAUGUGUAUCCCCAUUAAUAUGAAGAGGGAGGUGGGAGCUGGCUUGCUACGCCGCGUCACACGGCACGCGGCAGCUAGGCAUAUUAGACGUCGAAGGAUUCUGGCAUUAAAUGUUAAGCAUUUAUAAACUUUGCCAAGGCUCAAAUUCUCCCAUAAGCAGCCUAAAAUGAGGAUGUUGUAAGUUGAAUUUUGCUACAUAGAACUACAUUCUCGGAAAACAGCUUAGUUGCCACUUUGCCAGUCACAUCACGAGACAUGUGUCGAAAUCUCCCCCGCUCGAAAAAAUAAAAAAUAAAUAAAACAAAAAAAAAAGGUAAGCCUUCCUCAAAGUCUAACGCUACUAGAUUGAAAGGUGAAAAAACUUGAUUGCAUAAGUAUACUACCCAUUGGUAUUGAUGAAAGACUUAUGAGGUUUGAAAUUAAAUCUUUCAAGUUCCCCGCAGAACCCUGCCUUGCCCUUUGGAGUGAGGCUAAGGUUUUCUUCUCUUAUUAAAAAAACCAAUCGACUAUUAUUUGCAUUCCCACAAAACCGUAUGACUCAUUGCUUCCAAUGGUGAGGUCAACAUAUUGGUAAUCAGAAAGAAAAAAAAAAUGCAGAGCUCGAAAAGUUGAAAUGAUAACCAAAAUCCCUCAUCCAUAUAAUUUUUUUUAAGUAGAAGUCAACUUGGAGGGAUGAUCUUAAUCACACAAAUUGUCUGUGACAUCUCUAGAAUUAGUUUUAGUAAUGAAAUAAAUCGUUUAACUCUUUCGCUCAAGAAAUCUGCCGGCAUGACGUGUCGCUUGUGCGUUCCUUGUCCACUUGUGCAUGCUUAUAUAUUGCUUGCACGAGUACAAAGAAAAACUCCAGUUUGAAAAACUUUUUAUACUAAAAAUAAACCCUAAGCAUUAUUAAAUUUGUAUUGUUUUUAAAGUUUGACCAACUGUUUUGAUCUUUUUUUCAUGAACUUGUCCAAGCCGUUCUGGCGCUCUUUAACUAUUAUUAGUCUUAAUAAUCUAUUUCUAAUUGUCAUGAGUCAUGACCAAUCUCCCUUCUCUGUAAAGUGCAUCAAGUUGGUCAUGUCAACUCAUUCUUUUCUUUUUACAAGUGAUGGUGGGGAUAACUAGGUUAACACUUAAAAUUGCUUCCAUCUUCACCUACUUGAAUGACAGAAGAACAUGGGCUCGUGCCUUGUGGGUCACUUAUCUUAUCUUAUUUAACUUUUUUUUAUUGCUUUUAGGUGAAUCGACUGCACAAUCUUAAAUGCAUGAAUGAAUGCUUUAAACUAUUUAAAUUACGAGCUCUUUAUUGUGUUCCUUAGACAGAAGUUAAAACCAUCAUGAUUUGCUGGUUUUGAGUUGGUUAAUUAGUGUUUACAUGGUGUGAAUGUAAAAGUAAAUGGUAAAUGGCUUACAUAGCAAGUUAGUUAUAUAUAAGUUAAAGAAGACACCUCUCAAGUGGUAUGCGAAUCUUGGGGUGGCAUAAAAUAAUUGAGAAUUUAUUUAAAUAUAGUCAAAUUAUUGAAGCUCCUUCAGCUCUCUGUGGAGCCACUUUAAUUUGCUCCAAUAGAUGAUCAUUUUGCUAACAUGUGCCCUUUAUAUUCAUGAUUAAAGAGAAGAGGACUUCAAAUGAACUUUGGACUAUAGGAGAUAGAUAGGAGGAGGAGGAGGAGGAGGAGAUAAAGGAAAAAUCCAUUUCCAGUUUUAAUGGGACUCUGCAUAUCUUCUUCAGCUCACAAAAUUCAGGAUGGCCAUGAAGCUCCAAUGUCCUUUGAAAGGACUGACGAUUCUAAUGGAAUUCAGAUGCACGGUUCCCUUUAUUCUUUGGAAGGAAGCAAAGGAGUAAACCAAGAUAGUGCCAUUCUUUACCAGGUUUGUGAAUAUUUCUUUCCCCUUUAUUAUAUGGAAGGAAGCAAAGGAAUUGUUCUGUGUGUUUCUCUAGCUGCUCAUUUCAAAACCAUAUUGUUUGUUUUUCGCUUUGUCUAUACAUAAAUAUAUAGAAUGGCAAGGCUUGUUUUCUUAGAAAAUCAUCAGCAAUUUCGUUUCAAAAGCAUUCAUGCAAAGCAUGUUGCAUAAUCGGGUUUCAUAUUAUUUUACUAGGCUUCUGAAAGUCUGUUGAUUAUAGCUUUAACCUCUUCUUAUUUUUCUUGUCUUUUCAAUAGGGCUAUGGAUUGGAAGCUGAAGCUUUCUGUGGAGUUUUCGAUGGACAUGGAAGAUUCGGGCACCGAGUGAGUCAGCUGGUGAGAAGCAACCUGCCAUCACUCUUACAAGGCCAGAUGAAAGCUCUUGAUCAACAAGCCAUUGCAGUAGCAGAGGAUGAUGAUUCGAAAAAUCACAUUGACAGAAUAGAAACCGAGUCAGAAGAUUCAGAACCAAGCAAGAAAUUUCACAAAUGGAAAGAAGCCUUUGUUAGCUCCUUCAAAGUCAUGGACAAGGAGAUUAAGCUUCAAGAAAAUCUGGACAGCUCUUGUAGUGGAACCACUGCUGUUGUUGUCAUAAAACAGGUGAGAAAAACUACACAUGAUCAUUGAACAAAUUAUUUAUCUUUCUUUAUUUCUUUGUGUUCGGCUUUAAUUCAAGAAUCAAACAGGGUGAGGAUCUUUUUAUAGCUAAUCUGGGUGACUCAAGGGCAGUCCUAGGAACCACUAGAGAGAAUGGAAUUGAGGCCAUUCAAUUGACCACUGAUCUAAAGCCUGCUUUACCUAGUAAGAAGUUCAUCAUUUUUUUCCAUUUUUUUCCUCUUGUUUAAUUUGAAGUGAUUAUCUGACAGGUGAUCGUUUUUAAUGCAGGUGAAGCAGAACGAAUAAGGGCGUGUGAUGGUCGAGUGGUUGCACUAAAGCAAGAACCUAACAUCCAAAGAGUGUGGUUGCCUCAUAUUGACCUCCCAGGCCUAGCCAUGUCCUGAGCUUUCGGAGACUUCAUACUCAAGGACCAUGGCAUCAUUGCCACCCCUGACGUCUCCUAUCGCCGCCUGACUUCCAAAGAUCGAUUUGUCGUUCUUGCAACGGAUGGGGUAAGCCCUAUUGGAAAUGAAAUGUGUACUUGUUAAGAGUUUUAGCGUUGCCAAAGAAAAAAGGGCACAGUUGCUUUCCUAUGAAUGGCAUUUUAACCACAAUGAUGCGUUUUGUUCUUGGGCUUGGUAUUUAGGUUUGGGAUGUGCUCAGCAACCUUGAAGUUGCAUCCAUUGUGUGGGAAGCUGAUAGUGCACAAGCAGCGGCAAAGGCGGUGACGGAGACUGCGGUGGCCACAUGGAGAAGGAAGUUCCCUUCUGCUAAGAUAGAUGACUGCACUGUGGUUUGCUUGUUUUUGCAAGACAAACUACAUGAUCAUGUUGUGCCUGUAAAGAUAUGAGCUUUUGAGCAAUGCUUGUUGCUUUGUGAUCUUUUUUUAUCUUCAUACAUUUUAACACGACACUAUACUUUUUCAAUUUCUGAUAAGCUAUACUUUUUCAAUUUCUGAUAAGCUACCCGUCCAAUUAUGUACAUAAGCCCACAGGUUCCAUUUUUGGUUAAGACAACAGUUGCUUUCAAGAAUAAAUUUUUGGUCAAAUCAUCCGCCAGUAAAUGAAAUCUUUCAAAACCAAACAGAACCAUUGGCAACCUUCAAAAUGCUCAGUAAAUUUUCAAAAUGUCCACGAAUAAACAAUGAUGUUUUGAUUUGUUUUCUCCAGGCAAUUCUAGAAAGACAUCACAGGGCUAGAAAUUCAUGAACAUAAAUAUAAUAAGACUUGACAUAGUGGCAAAAGGCAUUCUUGAAAUUUCAUUGAAAUGCUUUUAAUCACAAUAGGAUAAGGCCGAUAAACUUCAGUUAAACUCUUUAAUAGGGGAAAAGAAUUAUGUUGCCUCCAGGCAAACGAAACAAAAGAGAACUUUCUGCAUAUAAAAACCCCAUUUGUGAGUAAACUCAAUGCCUACCAUCUGGAUGAAAAAAUAGAAACAGAAGAUCCCGGGCGAAUAUAAAUCCAUUUCCUCUAAUAUUCAAGUGCAUCAUCUUUGGGCGCCUCUCCAAGCAGGUCAUCAUCAUAUGAAACAGGUACCCUUAACCUAUCAUGAACAGAAAGUUGUUUCCCUUCAGUAUUUGACUGAAUGCCUUGAGUUUGCAUUUGACAAAUAACCGGUACGGCAUCUGAAAUAUUAGCUGGAGUAUCAUCCUUGAAUGAAUUCACAAUUGCUUUAGAUGAACCUUCUUUCCCUUGCUGUAUUGGUUGUCUAUUAUUUGUUGACCUGAAUUGCUUCUGCAUGGAGAUAGAAAACAUAAAAAGUAAUCAACGAUGCUGUAGUUUUACACUUUUUCUAAUAAAAGUGAUAUUUAAUUGACGUUUGGGAAAUAACAUCAGAAACAACACUAUGAAUCUAUGAUCCACUACUGCGCACCUCAAAUUCCCUUCCUUUUUUCAUUAUCUCUUUGUAGGCCUUUGGUUCUCGUGCUUUGAUGAUACUCCAUAGUACUCCACCACCAAAUCGGAAACGUUUGCCAUCAUGAGUCAUCUGACCUCCACAAGCCUGGAUCGCAUCCACCUGAAAUUUUUCAUCAUUUCACAAAUGAUAUCCUAGAUACACCAUGGUUUCUAGCAGGGAAAAAGUAUCCAUUCUCCUGAUACUGGAUUCCAUCCGGACUACAAAUAACUAAUAUACGAGAAACAUAGAAACACUUGUAACAACCACAUUUAAUAAAAUUCAGAAAUUACUUAACUAAGGAUAUCGUUCCCUACAAUCAAAGUAAGCUCAAAGAUGUUCAUAAUCACAAAAGUUUCUGUAAACCAUCUCCGGAUAGAGCUUAUGGUUCCUGGGGGAGGAGCAAACAUGAAUGAUGAGCUUUUUGGAGCAAAAAUAGAUGUGUAUUGCUUUGUUACGCGUAUCUAUUAGAGUACUCUUACAUGUGUUUUGCAUGCAUAUUGGCUAAUGCAACUCCAAGAAAAAAUGAUAUCAACCUACACAAAUAGCAUAUGAUGAAGUGGUUCAUCCAGGGGACAUCACAGCUCAGAGCACAAGAUUGAAAGGAGUAAAAUGGCUUCUGCAAGAGAAAUCUGCAAGGGUAGGGAAACAAUAUUGAGGAUCAGAAAUUAUGCAAGGCUGCGUGGCCAAAUAGUGUGCAUAAGCAUCGGCAGCUCUAAGCUGGUCCAAAAUUAAGCAACCCAGAAUCUCACCUUCCCUUGCAAAAGGCCAGUCGAAUCAUUCAAGUCCACUCUCAACAAAGGAUACCCUGCCUUCCCCUUGAAGCUAUAAUGUGAAGGGAACUUAAAAAGGGACAGAUGGCUCAGAAGGUAAAGACAACCUUAAAAGUACCCCAUAAAGCAUAACCAUCCUCCCAAUAACAGGACCCCCAAUUAGCAAAAAAACCAGCGUGUUCAAGAAUCUAUAGAACAGAAUUGGCACAGACAAUAUGAUAGGUGAUUUUUAAUUGACAUCACUGAAACCCAGCUCUGAGUGCAAAUCCCAUGUUCUGAACAUGAGCAGCAAGGUCGGAUCAUCUUAAAGCUAGAUGUGAAGCGGAGUCAAGGCAACCUUAAGAAGUACCCAUAAAGCACGCCCAGACACAACCCAUUCACCCAAUAACAGGAUUACCAUUAGCAGAAAGACCAAGAGUGCUCAAGCAGGUACAUAAUAGAAUUACUUUGAACAAUAUAAUAGAUGAUUUCAAUUGAGAAUAUCACUGAAAACUCCACUGAAAGGUAUUGGGCACAAAGCACAUGUUCUUAAACUGACAGCAAGGUCGGAUCAUCUAAAAAUGCACAUUAAUGCAGAUAAACAUGUACCAAAUUUACAACCAGUUGCUAAUGGCGUCUGUCAAGGAGAUUUUCAGAAGACAAUUACAAAACAUAAUGCAAUGCACACGUAGUUGCGUAUAAAAGAUAAAGAAAACAAUCCCCAAGUUAUAUAAUUUGCUUUGUCACAGCAUUUCCACAAAAGCACACAACGAAGGGCAGCAUACCUCUUUGACGAGAUCAUUCAAUGCAAGAACACCCAGACAACCAACAGCAGUAUAUACCAGAUAUGAUUUCUUCUCUUUCAGUCGCCUACAUGUAUCCAUCACAAACCUGAAAAAGACAUAACAUUAAAAGAAUGUAAAAACCCACAAGAGAGCUCCAAAUUCCUUUUGAAUAUAUGUAAUUUCUUUCGUUCUUAAUCGGGCAGGGCAUAACCUGUCUAUGUCAGUGACAUUAAUUCCAGGGCCACUGUUCCUUCUCCUAUUCCUCUUCUUCUUACCCCUGCGCUUCUGAUUCUUGCCCUGACGUUCUUGGUUUGCUACACUGACAUUGCCACCACUGAUCUGUCCCGAACCAUUUUGUGAGUUAAAAUCCACAAGCUCCCCUUCUUCCACAAGCUCUCCUUCUUCCACAUCAAGCAUCUCAACAUCUUCGCCAUCUUCAAAGUUAUCGUCUUCAAAUACUGCGUCUAGUAUGUUGUGUUCUCCUUCCAUAUAAGGUUUUCUUCAAUGGGGGGAAAAAACGCACCACAAAAUUUAUAAGCACCUACAGAGCAGAAAGCAGGAAGAAAACACGCAGAUUUCCACAGACGAGACAAAAACUGCAAACUCGUGCAAAUUUUCUCUAUGGCAAAUCACCAAACAGAUUAUGCGAGCCCUAACCAGAAAAAAUCACAAGUACAACGAAAACAAAAAAAAAAACGUAAAUAAAUAUUUUUUUUAAAAACCGAUGUACGAACCCUAACAAUGCAAAAACAAACACAGCAAUUCAAAGCUUAUGGAAUUUUCCAAUUAGAGUGCUCUGCUUAAGGACGAUGAAGCAUAACCGCGGCUUUUGGCGUUUGGUUGAUCAGAGGACUGCGUUUCGCUGGUAUGGUCUUUAUAGUGAAGCCUAGAUGAGCGCUGGCGGUAAUCAGUAAUGGCUUGUUUGGCUGCGUGGCAAACGAUGAUAUUAAUCCGGAUUGGGUUAUAGGUGGAAAGGCCCAACCCAAGGACGCUUUGCUUAUCUGUACUGAGCGAGCCCAAAAUGGCUGAAACUUAGUCCAUCCCCAAUCUAUUAGUGAUAUUUUAUGAUUUGUUUUUGUUGAAUACGUAAUUGUUAGUAGGUUAUCUGUCGACGUUUGAUUUCUUUUCAAUAGUGGGCCAUACGUCAUUGGCCAAUCCGUACGAGUCCACAACAAAACUGAGUUGAUGUGGAUUGUUGAGUGUGAAAUUUUGAGGAGUAAGUUUUGGGUGAAAAGCUCGGACCACGUAAUCUAUCUGUCCAACUGUUUUCAUAAGAGGGUAUAAAUUUUAUUGAGCGCCUGUCGGACGGAUGACAUGGUUUUAGAGCAAAGCCAAGCCCAACCUCAUAUUCAGACACCAUUGAUUGGAACGGGUAUGAAGUGGAAAUACAGGCCUUCCUUUAUCUUGUUCAGCAAGCAAUGGUGCAUUUUUGUCCUGUAAUUCAUAAAUCUAAUAGAUGCCCUUUGUCUGCAUCAUCACUUUUGUUGUAUUCUUUAAAUUAUACCUACCUUGUUUUCUACCUAUUCAAACGAGGGGAAGGUGGGCAUGAUUGGUACCAAAGUUUCAACCUAACGUUCUUCAACAUCUAGUAGCUUUUAUAUUAUAAAGUUAAAAGAAGAAAAAUACAAAAAGAAAACUCAUUAGAGCUUCCAGCUCUUGUUUUGAAUGAUGAUAGAUUAAGUCUGAUGUUGGGUUGAAAUAUUCUUUAUUAUGGCUAACUUAGCAUUGAUGUGCUAUGAAAAUAUACGCUGUUAGAUUUAUUGUGAGAAAAAUCAACAGUGAGAUAAAACAAUUUGGUGUUUGAUAAAAAAACAAAAGGGUCCCCACUUGCUCUAACAACAAAAAAACUAAAAAUCUUGCAAGUUAACUAAAGAAACUGUAUUCUUUAAUAAAUGAAAUUUCCCGUUAUUAUCUAUAUAUAUAAAGCAAAAGGCAGAGAAUGGUGAAACAUUCAAAAUACCAGAAAAUACCCUUGGUUAAUGCAAAUAUUAAGAAUUGAAAUUAUUAAUUAAAUGAGGAUAAUAUGGUAAAUUCACAAUUUUUCGUAUUAAAAAAAUUAAAAUUAAAAGAAAAUUCAGAUAAUGGAUCCUAUUUUUAUGGAACACAAAUAUCCAUUAUCUUUUUUAAUUCUAAAAUAAAUUUAAAUUUUUUUAAAAAAAAACCUCUCGCAUGCGCAGAAGCGCGUGCAGAGAGGCUAGUAUAUAUAAAGCAAAAGGCAGAGAAUGGUGAAACAUUUAAAAUACCAGAAAAUGCCAUUGGUUAAUGCAAACAUUAAGAAUUGAAAUUAUUAAUUAAAUGAGGAUAAUAUGGUAAAUUCAUAAUUUUUCGUAUUAAAAAAAUUAAAAUUAAAAGAAAAUUCAGAUAAUGGAUCCUAUUUUUAUGGAACACAAAUAUCCAUUAUCUUUUUUAAUUCUAAAAUAAAUUUAAAUUUUUUAUAAAAAAAACCUCUCGCAUGCGCGGAAGCGCGUGCAGAGAGGCUAGUACGAAUUACGGGUGAAAAAACCAGUGGAAUUAUACGGCGCCAACACUGUAAUUCCCGCAAUAAUACGGUGCCGACGUGUACGCUCCAGAUUGCACCCCUUUCCAAUUAAAGAGUGAGCUCACUGGGGCCCGCAAUCAAUCAUCCAAGUCGCAUUGAAAAAGAGAACCCACGUGGUCACCAAUAAAUAUCAACUCCUCCUCCGACCUUCGAUCUUUGUGUUAUAUGUCAGCUCCACCAAUCAGAUAUCCUCAUACCAAUUUGACCGGAAACCGCCAUGACUCGGUUGGCUAGCGCCGUCGUCCUGUUGUUCCUUGUCUCCCUCUCCAGUUUCGCUGCCGGUAGCCGGGACCUGAUCGGAGACGUUUUACGGUUACCUUCUGAAGCUUCUAGAUUCUUCGGCAGAGGCGAUGACGGCCCUGAUGAGCAAGACGACGGCACCGUGGGGACCAGAUGGGCUGUUUUGAUCGCUGGCUCAAAUGGAUACUGGAAUUACAGGCAUCAGGUCUUAAUUUUACACGAUAUCAUCUUUCUUAAUUCAGAAAUAUUCUUUUUUGUUAUCAAACUUCAGUUGUUAAUGGAAUUUGAGUUAUAAUUUUGGAUGUUAAUUUCAAUUUUUUUUCCCUUCAUGUUUUUUGAAUUGUUUGAUAUCUGAAUUUGGGUAACCUCAUAUUGGAAAGUUUAUGCUUGUAUAAUCUCGUUUAAAUUUGACUUUCAGCUUAUCCAAUUUCUGAUUCUUUUACCUUGUUGCUUUCGAAUUUGUCAAACUAAAUUUUGGAAGCUUAGAGUUUGUUUUGGAACUAAUAUGAAUUUAGCUCAAGCUUGUGUCUUUCUUAUCUUCCUUGAUCUCAUCUCAUUUUGACUAAGACAGAGUUUUAAAUUUACAUGUGGCUUGAGUUUGUUUUGGAACUCAUAUGCAUUUAGUUCAAGUUCGUUUUAUUAAUUAUUAUAUUCCUUGAUCUCAUCUCAGUUUGAAACUUUGACAUGGAGUACAUGAUCUCAACGUUAACCAUAUUUGUAUAGGAGCUGGAUUUCUGUGUCAGGGGUGAAAUUGAUACUUUUGUUGUGUCUAUAUCUUCAUAUGAAUGUCAAUAAAUAUCUUAUUGGUUUCACAUAUUUGAAAGCUAAGCCACCCUCAUUUCUUGAUUGAUGUUUAACACGGACCUUUUUAUCUUGUUUGUUUAGGCUGAUAUUUGCCAUGCUUAUCAACUACUGAAGAAAGGUGGGCUGAAAGAUGAAAACAUUGUUGUAUUCAUGUAUGAUGAUAUCGCUUAUAACGAAGAGAACCCUAGGCCCGGAGUCAUCAUUAACAGCCCACAUGGUGAUGACGUUUACAAAGGAGUCCCAAAGGUCUGUUAUCUUCCCCUCUAGGUGUUUACCUGCUUCUGAAUUGAUAGUUAUAAUUCCCCUCAUGCGGUCGAUUUUACGGUGGCAGGAUUACACCGGCGAUGAUGUUACUGUUAACAAUUUUUUUGCUGCUAUCCUUGGAAAUAAAACUGCUCUUACAGGGGGUACUGGGAAGGUUGUGGACAGCGGUCCAAACGAUCAUAUUUUCAUUUACUAUUCUGAUCAUGGUGGUCCUGGAGUUCUCGGUUAGUAUCAAUUCUGCACAUGACAAUACUGACAUUAUUUUGCCCACAUCCCCAUAUCUUAUCUACUUACUCUUUCCCUAGGGAUGCCUACCAGUCCAUAUAUUUAUGCUAACGAUCUAAUAGAAGUCCUGAAGAAGAAGCACGCAGCAGGAACCUAUAAAAGCUUGGUAAGUUUCUAGUUGAACUGUAAAUAGAUGCUGCAUAUACCAAUAGAGUUGGACUAAUUCGUAGAACUGCAGGUAUUUUAUCUUGAAGCUUGUGAAUCCGGAAGUAUCUUUGAGGGACUUCUUCCUGAAGGUUUGAAUAUCUUUGCAACUACGGCAUCAAAUGCAGAAGAGAGCAGUUGGGGGACUUACUGUCCAGGAGAGUAUCCUAGUCCUCCCCCGGAGUAUGAAACCUGCUUGGGUGACCUGUAUAGCGUUGCUUGGAUGGAAGACAGGUAUGCAGAAUUAUUUUAUUUUGUUAAAUUUUCAAUAAAGGGGUGGGAAGAAAAGCAGCUUAAUGUUAGCUUCAUUUUGCAUACCCUUGGUAAAUAAUAACAAUUUCAUCUUUCCCUAAAAGUGCAUUACUUCUUGAGUAUUGUCACUUUAAGAUUUGCCUCAAAAUAUGAAGAAUAUAUGAAUUAGGUAGAAGUUUGAAACUGUAUCAUUUCAUGCCAGUUGUUUUUUCUUCUUUAAUUCUUGCACUGGUGGUGUGGGUGUUUGGAUUGUCUUUGCAAGAGCAGUUUCUUUCUCAGGUUGGAGAAUGAAACUGUUCAAAUUAUAAUUUUCAUUUGAGAUUUAACAUUUUGACCUUGUGAACAGUGACAUACACAACUUGAGGUCGGAAACUUUGCACCAACAGUAUGAGCUGGUAAGAAUUCGUCUCUUAACACAUUGUUAUGGAACAGAUAGAGAUUUUUUUUUCUUCUUUUGUACAGGAAAGACCAGCUGUUUAUUAUUGUAUGUUUAAAUAAAAGAGAUUGUCUGUAUUUAGAGAAGUCUUGGGGGUCUAGCCAAGAAAUAUCUAGAUGUGAUCCUGCUAGUUGCUAAUGUCAGUUCUUUGAUUUCAUUAUGAUGGCCCAGGUUAAAACGAGGACAGCAAAUGACAAUUCUGGCUUUGGUUCUCAUGUCAUGCAAUAUGGCGAUGUAGGGCUCAGCAAGGAAAACCUCUUUGUGUAUAUGGGGACAAAUCCUGCAAAUGAUAACUACACUUUUCUGGGCGAGAACUCCUUGAGGCCAUCUACAAAAGCUGUCAACCAGCGGGAUGCUGAUCUUGUCCAUUUCUGGCAUAAGGUUAACUCUUACCUUUUUCAUCCGUGAAUAGUUAUUUUGCCUUUUCUUUUAAAUAUCUAGUCUUAAAAUUUAUGUACUAGUCAUCAUCGGUACUUAUAUUUGGAAGUAUUUCAUACUGUUAGAUAUUAUGAUUGAUUUGAUUAAAAGUCAGGAGAGAUCAGUAAUGAUGAUUGGGGAAUACUCCAUGUUUUCAUUGUUUAAACGGUAACAUAUCAUAAGUACCAUGGAGGUUUUGGAACCAUGCCAUUUGCCCUGCUCUCCUGUGAAGCUCCAAACAAAGCAGUAGAAUAUCUCUGCUUGGAACAAGAAUUUUGAAUACCAAAAAGGGAAUGAAACCAAGGUUUUGAUUAAAUAAAAGCCUUAAUUGUUAUGAAAAUCUAAGGUUCUACUUCUGAAUAUUCUGUGGUUUUGUAACUAUUUCUGUGUGUUAGCUGUCAGCCUGAAGAUCUAAGCCCCUUGUUUUCCCUUCUUUUCUUUUUCUGGAUGCAGUACCGCAAAGCUCCUGAAGGCUCACCAAGGAAAAUUCAAGCUCAAAAGGAUUUUGUUGAAGCAAUGUCUCAUAGAAUGCAUAUGGAUCAAACCAUGAAACUUAUCGGGAAACUCCUGUUUGGAAUCAAGAAAGGUCCAGAAGUGCUCAACACUGUUCGACCUGCUGGGCAGCCACUUGUUGAUGACUGGGACUGCCUUAAGACAAUGGUAGUACUUCUGCUGUUCAUUUUCUCCUUAAUGCUGUUAAAACUUUUCUGAUUCCAUCUUGUUCUGCAUAUAAAACAGAUUUUCACAAAUAAUAUAUGUGGCUGUGCCUGAUGGGUUUGUGUGUGCAGGUGAGGAGUUUUGAGACAUAUUGUGGAUCCCUAUCUCAAUACGGGAUGAAACACAUGCGGUCCCUGGCAAACAUCUGCAACGCCGGAAUGACAAAGGAGCAGAUGACCGAGGCUUCAGCACAAGCCUGCACGAGCGUUCCUUCUAGCCGUUGGAGCUCCCUGCACCGGGGGUUCAGCGCAUGAUUUCAAGAAGAAGAAAAAAUGUGGGAUUUGAAUAACCAAUCCGUGGUCAUCUCUAUAUGCAAAACAUAUCUUAGGAUGCAUUUCGAUUAUUGUUAAUGUUAUUCUGAUUGCUUCAGUGUAACCUUGUGUAAAUACAACUCAAGCCCCUGUACUGUAAUGCACGUACCUACUGAAUCUUGUAAGUAAAUAUUAGCAUGUUUGUUGCGUAUGAAUACGUACCUGUUUGCUGCAGCUGGUGUACGCAUCAGGCUCUGGUUAUAAAAAAGUUUGCAAUUACGAUAUGCCUUUGUUUUAUGUUCACUUUGGUUGCUUCAUUAAGGAAGUGAGUGGCUUGUCUCCAUCUCCUUCACCACCACCACUAACAGAACAUAAUUAUCGCGUAACACUUUCAACUUUAUGUCUAUUUGAGUUAUUAUUUACAAUUACAAUUUUUUUAUAUUAAAAUUUAUCAAAUAAUUUUGACAAUGCUUUUUGUACUAGCACUUCAAAAGAAUUAUUUAUUAAACAUGAAGUUGCUUUACUUUACAAUUAAUUAUUUUUAAAGCACAAUAAAAUUAAAUUUUUUAAAAAAGUCACAUCAAUCUCAAAUUCCCCUUCUUUCUUGUCCGUCUCCAAAUGGUAAACUGGUAAUCUAGCUUUUGACCCCCAAAAAAAUGGAAAUCUAGUGGGCCUUUCAUAAGAUAAUGUCAUUAUCAUUGUGUGAGUAUAUUCCGUGUAAUUGAGUAAUGAAAGAUAUCGAUCGCGUUGGGAAUUGGGGAAAGUUAGAAAUAUUUAAGAGACGGAUUUACUCCCUCAAUUAAUGUAAUUUAUGGGUUUUCAAGAAUUAAAUGACGGAUUUUAAUGUGGAACACACAUAAAUUUGUAUACCUGAUGUAAAUUUAAGAGUUGGAAUAAUUUUAAUAUCCAUUAUAGGCAAAUGAACAUGCCAUGCUAUAGGUGUGUGCCCAAUUUCAUUGUGGAGAACGUAGCCGUAGGAGAGCAUGCGUCCAACCCCAAAUUCCCUUUCUUCCUCACCUUGCUCCAACCUGUAGCUGCCAAAAUGUAGGUAAGCAACAGCCUACAUUACGGGUCCAAUAAUGUACAAUUUUGGCAAAGUCCAAUUACUUUAAUGAUGGAAUGAUUGUAUAGUUAAAUCUUACUUAAUAAGAUAAGAGUGAGAGUCAAAUUUAUACGGUGCAUAUUUAUUUCAUGUGUCAAUGCCAAUUAUAUUACAUAUUUUAAUUGAAUAAUACGGACCAUUUAACUUGACACAUGCAAAAUUAUAGAUGAGCUUGUAAUUGUAACAUUAAGAUUCACACAAAAAACGAAACUCACAAUAUUUAGCUGAAUGGAAAAUGUUUUCAAGAUGCAUCUAUCAUAAGUUCUAGCUGUGAACAUUAUUAUAUGGCAGUGUCCCAUCCCAUGGUCUCCCCAAGACUCACAACCCAACAUUUUCUUUUUCUUUUUCUUUUUCUUUUAUUUUUUUAUUUUUAUAAAACGCAACCCAACUUUAAAAAUAUGAUCCAUAAUUGCAUAUUGUCAAACCAACAGUGAAAAAAAAAAAAAAAAAAAGGGAAGCAGGAACCGACGCUCUAGAUUCAACAAUUUUAUUUGGUCAACACACAAAUAUUUAAGCUUGGCUUAUAUACGGUCUAUAAUCGGCCACAGGAACCGGACAUCAAGGACAAUUGUCUGAUAACGUGAAAUCCACGACUCUGGUUAAACUUACCAUGGUUAGUUCACUAUAACCAUACUACAACGAACCGGUUCACCAGAAAAAUAAAAUUAAAAAAUUAAAAAAUUAAAAAAAGGUAAAGGAUGAAUAAAAAAAUAAUUGGGUAAUGCAAAUUAUUGCCACUUAACGGAGUAGUAGAUUCUGUUAGAUUCAUUUGACGAGGCGAAGAGGGGGCGCAUAGUAAGAACGUUGUAACGAGGUUUAAAAGAGACGGAGCUGACGGUUUAAGAUAGGGAGACGCGGGAGCCGUUGGAUUGUUGAUCAAGGGCCGAUAAUGCAAGGCGUUGGACGGUUCAAGUGUGACGGAGAGUGGGAGGGGUCGUAUAAAGCCUGGGUUUUGAAAGGUGAGAGUGCAUUUCGUUCCAUCAAAACAAGAAGAAGAAAGAGGAAGAAGAAGGAGAAAGAGCCUCUCUGACGUUUUGGCCUUCGGUUUUUCUUCUGCUUUAGAAUUUAAAGAGGAAUUCGGGAGAGAAUUCGUAGAGCUGGACUGUGUGUAAUGUUAAGGAUCUAAUUACGAAGCUUUUCUGUGAGCCUGUUGUGUGUUCGCGGGAGAGAGAAGGAGAGAAGAGCUUGCAGAGGUUGGUGAUGGAGAAAACAGAGCUCGAUUUUGGUAGUUUUAAUGUAAUCUGAUUUCUUAGAAUGACCGGGUUAUUUUGUGCAAUUUCUGUUUUGCAGAUACAUUCAGAAGAGCUUUUGGAGGAAUUUGAAGUGAAAUCGAUUGCGAUUUGCUGGGAUAAUUUCCAAGGUGGACCUCAUUUCAUUGAAAUUUACAGAGAAAAGGUCGAGAAAUCUAGUUUAGAGGUGAGGGGAGUUGGAUUUGCUUAAUUUCCUAAACGAUUUCACUCCCUUAUUCUAACUCAUCGUUCGUUUGAUUUUGGUUUCACAGGUACAUUUCCCGGAGAUUUGACCCCUUUUUUUUGAAGAAAUCUCAACUGGGGUAUGAGAUAAAGAAGAACAAGCAUCUCUCAUUCAUGAGUGUCAGGGACAUAGGCUCUAAGUUUCAAUCAUUUCGUUGAUUUUCGGCUCUAGAUUUGCAUUUUGCAAAGUCAGAAGGCCUAGAAGAGCAAGAUUACCCAAAAGAAGCAAACUUUCUUUUGCAAAUUCAGGAUUGUAGCUGCUUGCGAAAUCUCAGUAUAACAGGUGAGGAUUCAUUUUCCGAAUCCUAGAUCAGUGAAACCAAGUCUCGGGCUUAGGAUUUCACUGGCUGAUUUGAUUUCCUUCCAUUUUCGGUUCUUCGAAUUUUGAUAUCUUUCUACUCAAUUUGGUUUCUUCAAGGAGGCUCUCACUUUUCUCUUCUUUUUCCUCAUCUGCAGCAGAGUCCAAGCAAUUGGUUUCUCUGUUUUUUGAUUUUCGAUGUUCAAAAGCAGAUAACUUUGCAACAGAAUUUUAAGCUUUUCAAAUGAAGCCAGCCGAGUUCCUUGACUCUCUCUCUCUCUCUCUCUCUCUCUCUCUCUCUCUCUCUCUCUCGCUCGCUGGGUCUUACAUUUGGAUCCAUCAUCUUUGUCCAUCAUCUUCUUUCAAUUUUCUGUCAUCUGCCUUCUGUGCAAGAAUUUUCAAUUUCAAAAAACUAAUUGACCUUUAUAUUUGGGAAGAUUAUCUCUUCUUCUUCGUCUUCUUCUUCUUCCUCUCCUCCUCCUCCCCAUUUUAAAGGCUUUUAAUAUAUUUUUCUGAAUGAUUUCCGUCUGUAUUAUCAGCAUUGAAAAGAAAAGACCUUCUCUAUGAAAUUUUACCCGCUGUUUUGUGAAAAAUCUAUCUAUCUUUGGUGUUCUUUGCUGGCAGUCCGAAGUUUGUGUCUUUUCCGAAAUUCAAACACCAGCAGAGUGCAAAAUCUUCUGUUUGGUUCUCGGGAAACUGAUACAAGAAAAAACUGAGCUAACAGACGUAAUUGCUCAACUUAUUUAAUCGCAAUUCGUUGGAAGCGUCUGAUAAAAAAAAUAUAUAUAUAUAUCAAAGAUACAAUUUUCAUUCUUUGUCCUUUCCCUGCCUUUUUUUUUUUUCGAUCUUCAUCUUCUCCGUCUGUUUGGGUAGGCCCUGCUUUUCAUUUGAAUUUUAUUUUUAGGCACUCGCAGUUGCAGAGAGCCAGCCACAAUCCAAUUCCAGAUUCUCAGUUUUUGCCAUUUCCGUCCCUAACUUUAAUUAUGAGCAUUAACCGCGGUUAAAGUGUAAAAAAUCAUGUUAACUAACUAACCGCUGUGAUUAAUUCUUGUUUUGGCAUGGGUGGACAGGUGUACAAAAGGAGAUGGAAAGGGACUGUCUUAGGCACACCCAUACUAAAGACACCCACAAUCCCAACACUCGAGACAAAACCGGAGGGGACGCCUCAGCCUCUCUGCUGUUGAGAGCGAGCCCCGAUGCCAUACGACACGCAACGACGUCGUCCGAUUUCGUUUUGCAGUGGGGGAACCGCAAGCGCCUCAGGUGUAUGAAGAUCCAGGUCAAAGACAAGGGCAAAGACGACUCCGACGCCCCGGUUACCCGAACCACAGUCCGGGUCGACCGCCGGGUCGUCCGACCUGAUAAGGACCCGGCCAAUCAGCCUUCCACGGCCGGUAACUCUAAUCAGACGAAUGGGUAUUUGAAUCUCCGUCAACGGCCGUUAUCUCCGCAGCAGCCGCCACUUCAGCGUGUUCUCAGGUUACCACUUGCACUUCACGCUUUUGCUUUAUCUAAUCUAUAUCUAUUGCUUCCACGGGACGUCGUUUCGGUCCUGCCUUUCGUUAACAUGUAGUUUCGUCGUUUUGUGGGGUAGUUGUGGUGGCGUUUUGUCGUUUAAAUUAGUGGCGGGUGGGCCAGGUGCGUGGGUUUUGUCGUUUUUAGUUAUUUUGGGACUUGUUGCCUACGGUUACAUCUGUACAGUUUUGGUGCGGUUUUUAUAUAUACCUUGAUCUCACCGUCAGAUGCAUGAGUCAUAAUCAUCAGAUCAGGAGAUUUUAUAUUCAGACUUGCUUGAUUUUAGAUUUUAGAUUUGUGAGGAAAAAUCUCAGAUGAUUGCGUGGCCAAUUUCUCUACGUCUGUGAAGGUCAAAGAGAAUAAUUUUGUUAGGUAAGUGUUUGUUGCUUUGAUUAGAUUAUUUCAUAUGCAACAAUAGAGUGAUUGCAAAUUCUGUUAUCUUCUUCCUUGUUUGGUUGAAGAGAAAAUCUUGUUUGCGUGAAGGGAAAAUCUCUGAUUUUCUUGUGCAAAUUUGUCGCUUUAGAUUGGAUUGAUUUAUAUGAGUGGGACUGGAUAAAUGGAUAAGGCUAGAAAGCAUGGAAUUUUGUCCCACACCACUGGUUUUUUAUAUUCCUGGCCUGCCAUUAACAUGGCUGUGUUUAAUCCUAUGUGCUUAAUGUGUAGUUGAAUGAAAUUUUGUCGGAGGGUUUUUGAGAUUAGGAGUUUUAAUGAUGAAAUUUGGGGCUGAAUUUGUUGUGAGGCUUAUCUUAAUGAUCAACUCUCCAAUUGGUCAGGUGGGUGAAGAGAUGUAAAAGCCCCAGAAGGAGAGCUCAUGGUAAGUGCAUGAGGGUAGGGUGCCUUCUUUGUUUGUCUUUGUAGGAAACUAGUAGCAUAUGAUUGAAUUAGGUUGCUCAUGUAGUCAUGUAAUCUUUUUGGCUUGAUUGUGCACAACAUAAAACACAUUAACAUAACAAACAACUUAAAUUAGAGAAAGAGAGAGUCUUAGUGCCAUAAGGUCAAGCAUUUACCCUCACAUUCACGGCAAGAGUUUGAUUCUUCCUCGUUCGUGUUUUUCAGGAUGCGGUAUUAAAUUAUGGUAUCAUACAGGAUGGUGUAUCAAUAAGUUGAUGUCAAGCAUGAUUGAUUUGAUACUAGUUCUAGUUUUCUUUUUUGGAAUAAAUGCCUUAUUUAUUGUGAUUGAUUUGUUAUUUAUUUUAGACACGAUGUUAGGGCUGAUUUGAUCAUAAAUCUAGAAUGAUUAGGCUUGAGUAAAUUGAUUUCCACUAGGACUUGUGUAGCAGGCUUAUGUUGCUCAUGGUCACACCGGAUCGGGGCUCCACUACAUCUUAGCAUGAUAGCGUCCGAUCCAUAACGACCGGCACCCUGAUUCCAUGGGCUCAGUGGAAAUAGGAAAUGGGCAACUCCUAUUCCACGUGUCCACGGAAAACCAAUUCUUCAACCCCGUUUCUAGCCCUGGGAUCACUGAUGGAUCAGGCAAUGGAUCCACGCCUUCCACGUUUCAACACGUGUUCCUUAACCCCACAAAAGGCACUCUCAAUCCAACGGCUAAAAUCCUGCCCAAAAACCAGCUGUGCACGUUAUACAGUACAUCACAUCCCUUUCCUCUCUCUCUCUCUCUCUCUCUCUCUCUCUCUCAAAUAUCUAACUUUUCAUUAAAGAAAAGAAAAUUAACAACUCCCUCGUUUAAAAGCAGAACACAAAGGUCCCCCAAAGAAGCCAAAAACCACGCUAAUUUUCUACGCAAAACCCAUUACAAAGCCUCUCUCUCUCUCUCUCUCUCUCUCUCUCUCUCACACCAAUCCACCGAUCUAGAUCGUCUCAAGGCCAUUCCCGUAAUUUCACAACUACCCACAUUAAUUUAAUUUAAUUUAAUUUUUUGCCCAAAAAGUAUCAUUUAUUAUGUUUUGUGCCAGCUUUUUUAUGGGUUUAUUGAAUUCAAUUGAUUUGAUUUGAUUUGAUUUUGAUAUGCGUAUCUGAAUUGUGUAGAAACUCAGAGACCACAACAAGUGCCAUGAGAGGCCAGAGCAACGGAGGCUUGAGGGGAAUUGUUUCACCCGACAACAGAGGGGGUGCGCACGAUAAGAAAGGCAACCACCACCAUCACAACCACCACCACCAUAAUAAUGAGAAUAACAACACCAAGUCUGCAGCUUCUUCGGACACGGCGCACGAUAGUAAAAAGGGGGGAGGUGGGUCUUCAUCGGGAAGCGGCGAAGCAGCGUUGGCGCCACCGAUGGUCUGGCCGCCGAAGUUCGUGAUUGCUUUGACCAACAAAGAGAAAGAAGAGGACUUCAUGGCAAUCAAAGGGUCAAAAUUGCCUCAGAGACCCAAGAAGAGAGCAAAGUUCAUUCAACGCACCCUCAAUGUAAGCUCCUCUAUUUUCCUUUUUUAGUUACUUUAUUAAUUAAUUAGUAUUAAUUAAAACUAACUAGUUUUUUUUAUUUUUUUUCUUUCUCUUUUUAAAAUAACACCAUUGCCUUGCAAAAACAAAUCAAAACCCAGUUUGAUUUUAUUAUAUUUAUAUGGUUGUUUUACCUGUAUUUAUGCAAAUUGUUGUUGCGACAAAAUGUGGACUAGCUUAGAAGGAAGGAAAAGCAAAAAAUAAUAAAAUAAUAGAAUAAUAAAUAGAACUUUCUGGUAUUUGUUUAGUUUGGGUUAAAAGAAGCCGAAGAAGAUUGCUAAAGUGACAGCAAGAACAAGGCAUACACGUGUCCGCCAAGCCAUGUAUGCAUAUACCUAAUAUGCCUAAAAGUUAGUUUGCUGUCCGACUGGAAUAGUAUUAAUAGGACGAUGGUUUGGGUUAAGAUUAAAUUCUAUAUUAUUCAUAAUAAUAUGAUAAUGAAAUAUUUUAUUUAGGGUCGCCUCGUUUAGUGGAAAAUUGAUGUCACACGUGGCAAUACAUGGUUGUUGCUUUUGGGUUGGUUAUCGUGGCGAUGGACGGUGCGUGGCGUCUCAUGUGGCCGCAUGUGAUUUAGUGGGCAUCAGUGGACGUUUAAAGCAAGUGGGCCUUAAUUCUGUACUAACCGACAAAAAAAGGGCAUAUGGGUCGAAACGGACCCUGGGCCUGUUACCGUUGGUUUUUUUUUGGGGGGUUCUUUUUGGGAAAUAAUAUGCUUCAUGUUGAGGGCAUAUAGGUAUUUUCACUAGCCCUUAAUUAUGCUAACUGUUUUCUGGCUUGGACCGCACUGCCAACUGCUGAGCACAAAAGCACGAAAGCUGACUACCCACAAUGCACCGUUUUCGUUUUUUAAGUUCCAAACAUAGCAAAACUCAUCAAAGUGCUUAUCAAAAAGCCUAUCCCGCUUUUUGCCCAUUACCUAAAGCAAAAGCUACGCUUUUGCCAGUCUGUUUUUGCUUGUUUUGGCCUCUUCCUUUUAAUUAGCUGGAAGAUUAUUGUUCUAAUUAGUUUUUUAUUUUCUGUAAUUUUGUUUUAUAGCUGGUAAGCCCAGGAGCAUGGCUCUGUGAUCUGACCCUAGAACGGUACGAGGUCAGAGAGAAGAAGAUUUCCAAGAAGGUAUUUUAUUGAGUAAUUUUCUUCGAUUCAGGGCCUAAAUCAAAUUUCCUUAAUUUGCCUUUAAUGUUGAUAUUUUUAUGCAGCAGAAUGAAUAGUUUUUUUGUGUUUUUGCAUGAUGCUGCAGAGACCAAGAGGGCUAAAGGCGAUGGGCAACGUGGAGUCUGACUCUGAAUAGAAAGGAGUUUUAGUGAAAAGACUAAUAUAGCAUUUUCGUUUUUUUUCUCCUCCUUUUUUUGAAGGUAUGAGAAAAAUGUUAGAACUUUGUAAAAAUCUUCACCUUUCAACCAUCAGAAUAAUGAAUGGAUUCAUUUCCGGUCCUGUAUACAGUCUUGUUCCUCAUCUUCCUACUAAGUUUGUUUAAUCAGAACAAGAAAAAAAAAACAAAUCAUCACGUCCAAGCACACGAACAAAUGAAAUUUCUCUCUUUCAAACCCUAAUUGUGAAAAAUAAUUAAAAUAAGCUUCAGGGAUGUAAUUCAAGUGGUUAGUCAUGACAUGUUACACAAUCCAACAAUUUUUUGUUUUCUUGUCAACCUACAACACAUUUUCUUAUGUCGUAUUAAGUUAGAAAAGGGAAUUAACGGUGUUGGAUAGUCGUCCAAACGCACGUGAGUGUCUUAUGAUUGUUCAUAUAUUAACAUAUGGGUCUCAGUCUAACAUACAUCGAUGACUUACGGUGGAAGUGCUCAUUAGGCAUGGGCAAAAUCAGUUUCAGACUUCACCAUCCGAGUGAAAAAGAAACUCGAGACUCGAUCGCUCUCAAGAUGUGAAGAAAAUCACGAAAUUGACUCUUGAGACGAGAUUUGAGACUCUUUAGAGGUUAGACUUCAAGAAGGAAGAAGAAAAACAACAAACCAUAACUCUCUUUAGCUGACACACGUAACGUAAAACCACAAUAUAUGAAUUUGCAAAGCUAUUAAAGACAAUGACAUCUAAAAAUUUACCCGAGACAGGAGAAAAACCAGAACCCCAACUCCCUAAAGUUACCUAGUCAUUAGCAAAUUGAAGGGCCACGUCUAAUUUAUAAUGAUAAGAGAUAAUAUCAUUGUUUGGUCGCAUGAUUUGUGGAUGCCACUUUACAUUAUGUGGCCUCCUUAAUUGGUAUUUUGAUGUGACACGGAACACUUAACGCGGUAAUUUAAUUUCUUAACGUAAUUGACAAUUUCAAUGAAAAUCCAUGACCUAUCAUAUCAGACCACCAAACCAAACCCAACUGAAUUAAACUAUUGGAAGAGGAGAAAACAUGGGUCCUAAUUCAAAUUAACAUUCAUAAUUCGCCAUCAUUGACGGGAAGACCCGAAUUAAUCCCCUUAAUUAUGCCACGAAGAAGCAUAAACACAUUUUAAGAAUAACAUCUGCUCUGUGAGAGUUUGUGGAGACAGACAGAUCCACCACCCACCAUCCAGCUGGUUCUCAAAAGGCAAUUCUAAUGCUACCUGCGGGUCGUGAAGAAAAGAGGAAGAUUUUUCAAUUUAAUUAGCCCCCAAAAAAUAGCAUGGAAAAUACCCCCAAAGGGCCCUAAAUAUACCCUUACCCACUGGGCAUAUUUGUCAAUAAACACUGAAAUUAGGGAUUUUUUCAGGACCCAAACACAAUUGCUAUAGUCGGUGACCCAGAGCCUAUCAAAUUAUAAACUCAUUACGUGUUGCAGUUGGAAUUACAGCUUUAUUCUGUUAGAAUAAAUGAUUAAUUUACACCGACUUGGCUACGCCGCUUUUUUGGUCCAAGCGAAAAUAAAAUAAUUGGAUCUGGAUUUGUAAUUUGCCGCUUUUUAUUUGCAGGUAAUGAAAAUGAAAUAACAAUUUGGAUAUUAGUUAAUUUUGAUAUCACAAGCUAGACAAACACCAUUCUCAAAGCAACUCAAGCAUCAAACACAGGAGGAGGAGGAGGAGGAAGACAAACGAAAUAAAAUCAAUGAAUUAUUUACUCAUAAUAAGGAUAAUAAUCGAAAUCCACAAAUACAAAACCCAUAGUAAUAAACCAAGUGCAUUAUAUAUGUAGUCUAUGCACCACAAAAACCCAUAUGACACUGAAAAUCCUAUAGAUCCAUAAUCACCAGCUACUAAAAUGACAAACGCUACUAAUAAAAAACCAAUCAGAAACCCAACCGCUCUCUACACAGCCCCAACCAUAGUUGCAGUAGUAAGCGAAGACUCAAACCCUGAGCGCAGAUCCGAAGACGAUAGCGGCGAAGGCGGCGGCGAAAGCAGAGAUGAACGACGGGGAGAUGGAGGCGGAUGCGGAGGUUGGGCUAGGAGCUGGAGAUUCGGCGGCCUGAGCGGCGCCGAUGACAGAAAGGACGGUGACGAAGACCGCCAUGAGAGCCACGAGUGAAGUUGCCUUUGAGACUGCCAUUGUUGAUUGGUGUGAGAGUUUCUUGUGCUUCGGAAUCUAGGGUUUUGGGAAUACGCCGAGAGACUGAAGCACAAAUAUCAGAGGUGGAAUGAAGUAGGCUCAAGGAACGUAUUUAUAGCGGGGAUUUUGGGCUGGGGUCGGGCAGCCUGGGCAGCUGCCCGGUUCUACAGGCUGGCUACUUGUGAUUGGUUCAGCGCGACAGCUCACACCGCUGGUCGGGGUAAAUUUUUCUCUGUGGGCCCCACUAGAAACCAGUGUCUACGCGGAGUCGUUUCACGCACGAUUUUACCUUCGUCUGAAACGACGCCGUGUGUUCACAUUCCUUAACGAAAGGGCUUUUCGCUUCGCGGCCGAGUCGACUCAGUGGAGAAUAUAUUCGCAAGAAUCUUCUAGCUUGCGACGCGCGGAUCAGAUUCUGUCCGUACGGUGUCAUUUGAGUCACAUCACAUGAUGAACGGUCCAGAUGAACCCGUGGGAACACGUGGGAAUGGAAGAGGUUAUAACGGUUUCGCGGUAAAAAAAUUUGGUUUUUUAUUUAUUUUUAAACUUAAAAAAUGGCCCACAAUGCGCAAUCAGGGAGAUUACAGCGCAGAAAACACAGAGAGGAUGCGUGACUUUCUGGUGAGCGACUCGAUGGCCAACGGGCGAUCGACACGUGGGGAUUUCGAAAAAGACAGGUUGUUAAAUUGCGAGGAAAAAGAUACGACAGGUGUAGGGUGGGAUUUGGUUCUGUUGCUUCUGAUAUUUUUAUUUCGCGGGAUUUCCAGAACAUUCGCUUGGCAUUUUGCGUUUUGGAGUUGAGGGGCGCACAUGCGUGCGGGUGAAGUUACCGUAAUGCCCUUGAGAGUGAUUGGGUGCGUGUCAAUUUUAUAUUCACGUUCAUUAUGAGGAGCUAUGAGUAUCUACUUAAGAAAACCAAAAGGAAUGUGGCGCUGAAUCUGAAUGGGUUUGAAGUCCAUUAAUGCGUUCCAGGGCUUUUCAACAUUUUGUUCCAUAUUCCAUGCCGUGCCCACUGGCUAAUGGGUUUGAUGUGGGCCCAACAUAUUCUUUUCUCGUCAAAUCCAAAUAAAGAGGCCGGGUGUUACGGGAGCUCCUAUAAUCCAGGUCGGUUUAUGUCGUCGAAGUUUCAAUUCAGCUGUCUAAUAAUAAUACUCUUAAAGUGUUGUUGAACGAACUCACAAAUUAACUGUGUUCACUUUACUAAUAAACUAUUUAUUGAAUUAUCAAUUUGCUCUAGUAUAAAAUGACCAAAAAUGAUAUAUUGAAUUGUGAAAUAAAUGUAAUGUUAAUAAAUACACCAUACACUAAAUAAAUAAAUAAAAAUUACACCUUUCUCACUAUAUUCAACCAAAUUGAACUUUUGUUUUCUUUUUCUUUUUCUUUUUCUUUUUCUUUUUUGGGUUUGUUUGUUAACCUCAAUAAUAAUAAAUGAAUAAUUAGGGAGGGACCAACCAUAAAGCCAAGCAGGAUUAACAAAUAUGUAUAGAGAUGGGUUAGUAUUAUGAGACAACCAUCACAAUGUCUGUCUGAUUCAUAUAGAACUGCAUAAUUAAUGACAAUGAUGAUAUUAGUGUGUAUCAGGGGUAUUUUUAAAGUUUUUAUAAUUGUGUAUUAGUGUGUAUCAGGGGUAUUUUUGGUAGUUAAAUAUGGUGUACUUAGUUAAUUUUACAUUUUGAUUUAAAUAUUAAAGUAUGUUUAGAUCAUAGGGUGUACUUAGUUAAUUUCAGAGUUCGUUUAGCAAUGCUCUACUUUUAUUGAUCAGACAACUAUGAAGACUCCCACACUAUAGCCUCAUACAAGUGGUACGCAGCAUAAAUGGGCAUGUAAACCAUAGAGGACCAAGAUAUAGAACCGUUGACGCACGUAAGUUCCACAAUACUGUUAAUAUAUGUGCGGGCGACUCCGAGUAACUGUUAACCUAGAGUCAGAGAAAUGAAAUUCAAAUAUAAAAUAUUUUAUUCUAAUGUCGAUUUCUGAAUACAAAAAUGUGAAUUUGAUGCAGUGCUAAAUAAGGUGUGCUACUUCUCUGUACAUCUGAUACUGAUACUGUUGUGGACGGGGGUUUUGGCCAAAGAGCUAUCAAGUGAACCUCAACUAAUAAUAAUAUUACAGCUGAGGUUGAAUUCUAUGAUGACAAAUAACACACACCACAAACAGGGAAUUUUGCAUGCUCUUCGGCUAGAGAAGUUUGAUUUGACUGAGGAUUUAUGUGUUAGAAGCCCAAAAACUUUGGUGCUAAAUGCAGAAGGGGUUCCAUAGCACUUGGAGCAAAUUUUCUUCCAAAAAGAAAGCAGAUUGAAGAGUUCCGGUCGUUGUAAGUGCAGCGAUGACCCUCGAGCAUUCUCUUGAAGAAUUCCUCAGUGAUAUCAGCUCUUCCAAAGGUAGCUGGGUGAGGUCCACCCCUUGACCAAUCCACCCAAGUGAUGCUUCUGUUUGCUAAGGAAUUCCCUGCUUGAAUGGUUAGCAUGGUGGGGAAAUAGUGCUCAUCAACAUAACAUGCGGGUCUACAGAACUUUUCAAAUUUUUGGUAAAAUGUCGUAUCUUCGACAAUGCUGAUGGCAAGCUUCCGGUUAACUUCAAACCAUUGGGAGCCCUUGCGCCACUGGGUUAUAUUCACUUCAGGUGCCAUGUUAUUAUUAUAGCGUCCUCUCCCGAAUGGCCCAGGGUCGUCAAAUGCACCGAUGAAGCUGUACUUGGAUUUCAUUAAGUAGUGGUAAAUGACACUGAAGUUAUAGAGCGGAAUGCAAGAUUCGGAAACAAGAAUGAACCAUUCAUUGGAUAUGUCAAGCAAUGCAUUAGCAAGGAGCCUUCUCUCAGCAUCACACAUACUCAUUCUUCCCCACUCAGAAACCUGCACAGCAGAAAACCAAAACUCUUAGCAGAUAUGUAAGAGAUAUUGCAUAAUAUCUAUCCAGAUUUGAACAGAAAAAAUUUCUACAGCAGCAACCAAGAUGACCUCAAAGAAAUUAGACAAAACAAGUUAUCCUCAAGCUACAAAGCAACAACAAUAUAAUUUUCCCUGGAUACUCUGUUUUUGAAGCUACUAACUGCGGAUCAUGAGUUUCUCUUUUGUUCAAAACACCCAGGUUAAAAAGUAAAACAAGCAGAGAUUUUAUGGAAUAUGUUCAUGAAUCUGAAAUAAAUACUUGGUAUGUUUCUAUACAAGCUUGAACUCUAUCACAAAGCAUCAUUCACAUAAAUAAUUAAUUUCUUCCUCAUAACCUGAAGGCAGAUAUCAUGACAGUAUGGAAAUGUCAUGAUUGUGGCACGAGAACAAGUCAGGAAUCAAGAACGUAGAUUAAAAAAAAAACAUCAGGACUAUGUGAAGAGGUCCAGGGUGCCACCCCAGUAGUCAAUGCCUUUACAUCAGCUGUUCAUCAUGUACGAAAACAUUUAUGCAUCUGCUUUUUUCAUGUUUAUAAACACAGGUGUUGUAAUAGUCUCAAGAUCCAAAAGUUAGCAGCAGAUGGAGUGGACCUAGUGGAGUUUCACAUGCAGGAUUGUCAAAUUCAUGGAAUAAAGAGUCAAAUCCAUUCACUUAGUUGAGUUUGCACUUGACACACGAGUCCAUGGAACAAAUAGGGCGUCCUGCCCUCCCCAAGAGAUGGUCUAUAUAUCCUACAUCACUGUAAUUCUCAAUACAUGAACAUGAUAAAACUGACCUGUUCCUUUCUACCAACACACAGAAAGGUAGUUUUAACCCUUUCUUUGAUGAUAAGCAAAAAUUACCAACUCUUGGAAAGAUGAAUUUCGGAUUUCAUCAUGUCUUAAGCUUCACAUACAUAACCUAACAUUUUUAAAUGCAAGAGACCAGGGUGUGUGCUCACCACAGAGCAAAUAUAGGAAAUCAAGAUGUGCAGAAAGUAAAAACCAGAUAAACCAGUGAUAGAGAACUAGAUAUCUACGAAUUUACCUCAAAAUAAAAAAUAAAAAAAUAAUUUUGUACUUGCUGAAGGAUGCUUAGUAGAACAUGCAAUCUCACAAAGGAUAGAAUAUGGACCUGGCUAGGAAUGUGUCUCCCAUAAAAAACGGACGAAGUGUGAAAAUGAGGUUGAAAUGACGGCAGUGAAUGAACGUAGAUUGAAUAACGUCCUUCAUGUCCCUUCAGAAACCUCUCCCAAAGGGGUGCCAGCGGCAACGGCCCCCUGGUCAAGAACAUAAAUGCAAUCUUUGGAACUCUCUCAAAAGGAUACUUCUUUAUUCUAGGCAUAAGAGAAGCCCUCCACAAUAAUUCCUUAUCAGUCAUAGUGUGUUGAAGAUUUGAUGGCGGCUUAAUCCACCGGUCCAAACCACUCGGUUCCUCAUAGCAUGGCUGGAAAGAGGACGUGACCGUUGUCAUCACCCCAUUAAUUCCAAAAUGACGAAUCGUCAAUAUGCUAAUGACUGAGAAAGUAAUACAGAAAAGCACAAACAGCACAAACAACUGAAGUAGCCUUAUCGGCAAUGCCUUGGUUUGGUUUGUCCUGCCAGUAACUCCGGGGUCCUUGCCUUCCUCUAAUGGCACAACCCUUGAUUGCAUGGUUUGCAUCUUGAUUAAAACACUGCACCAAAAUCAAUUUCUAGCUCUUCUGAUUACUACAGAGUACCUCCAAGUCUCAAAAUUUUGGACACCUAUUGACUUCUCUCAAACAAGAAAACCCACAGUCCAAAAUUGCAUCUUGCAUCACAAACGGUGAAGUGAACACGAAUUUAAUCACAUUGGAAUCUGAAUCACUCAGUUUUCUUCAAAACUGCAACCCCACCAAAUAAAAACACACUGCACAGAUCUGAAACUAAUACUACAGUACUGAACACAUACUGCGUAAAAAAUUUUAACUUCAGCACAUGGGUUCUUAAUAAACUGAGCUUAUAUCAACGAUCUAAGCUAAGAUCAUACAAAUAUGGAUCGAACUUCUCUUUCACCAGAGAAAAAAGUAUGACAUACCAUGUGACUUUUGAGGUUGAAAGCUAAAUUGAUGAAGACGAAUGAAGGAUUUAGAUCCUUGUAUUUGACUGCUUGAAUUGCGCCCAAGAAUACGGGAAGUGGUCAAUUGGAUGAAGAACAAGAGAACAGAAGGAGGAGGUCACGCAGAGGAGACUUUGGCGGCAGAAACAAAAAGGUGCAGUGACCAAUAAUAAUGAGAGAGUUUGAAAAACUUGGGGAGAAGUCUUGACCGAGUGUGCGCGUUGUGUGUGAGAUGAGAGAAUUGUGAGGAAGACGACGACUCUGUGAUGAUCUGUAGAAUCUCAAGUUUUAAGAAUGUCUCUCACACGGUGCGGUGCGAGUGAGGAGGGAGAGGGGAUCCAGCUUGUCGGCUAACUUGGGAGUGUGAUAUAUAAGCACCCAUCCAGUUUCAUAGCUUGGUGGAAAAACGAACUUGCCUCAUCUGUUGCGUGUGUGUAUUUUUGGGUAAAUUCAUUAGUGACUAAAAUGAUAAAAAUCGACCUUCGGAUGCGAUUACUAUGUUUUGAUUAUUUUUUUUCUUUUUUAGUAGAAGCGAUAGUUUCUAAACUGAAUGAAAGUGGAAUUUCUCACACACACACAUCUAUAAUGUCAUGGAGAUUCAAACUUGAGACCUCUAUUAUGCAAGUUAAAAUUUUUCCACGCAAUAGACCCUGUUGGCGAUACACUUUGAUUUUAAGAUGGGCAGAUAACAAUAGAAACUUUAUUUUAUUUAUUAUUAAUUGCAAGCACCCUAUUGGAACACGUUUCACCCUAUUGGAGCAUAAUUAGCAUCAAAGCAAGAAAAUCAACUAUUUUCCCCCCUCAUAGCCGCAUAAAAGAACAGAUAAAAGGAUAGAGUAUAGAAGCCUAAGUACAGAUGUAAAUGUAAUUAUUGGUUAGAGAUUGGGUUUAGUUUAAACAAGUUAAUGAGGCUUUGAUUGGUUGUUGAAGCUUAAUGUCUUAUGGUGGUGGAGAACCCAAUUGUAUCAAACAACGUAAUAAACACGACGUGGUGUAGUUGGGCAGACCGCAAGUCUUGGCCUCUAGUUAGGUGGGAUUUCAGUUCUUUCACCAAACCAAACAAGCCAUGAGGAAAGCUAAAGAAAGUCUAAAGGUAGGAGCCAUAUGUAGGAUCAAAUCUGCCUAGUAACCAGUUGUAUAUCCCCUUCUGUCUACAACACUUUACAUUACGUAAUCGGUUGCAUAUUUCUAUUCUAUCUGUUUAAAACAAUCAUCAUCUAUAUAUAUAAAGCAAAAGGUAGAGAAUGGUGAAACAUUCAAAAUACCAGAAAAUAUCCUUGGUUAAUGCAAACAUUAAGAACUAAACUUAUUAAUUAAAUGAGGAUAAUAUGGUAAAUUUACACUUUUUAUAAAAAAUUAAAAUUAAAUAAAAAAUAAUGGAUCUUAUUUUUAUGGAACACUUUUUAAUUCUAAAAAAAUUUUAAAUUUUUUUUAAAAAAAUGCCUCUCGCAAGCGCGUGCAGAGAAGCUAGUGUUACAUAAUGAGUGUUGUAGACACGAGAAUACAAAACCGGAGAUAGCUAAGAUUCUCUCCAUAUGUUGAGUCUACACCUACCUACAACCGCAUCUAAGAUUCCCCCAGCAAUAAGGACACAGGGACAGCUGAGGAUCCAAAAUGGUUCAUAUACAUGGGGUCCCGAUCUCGAUCUAAACUUCGUUAAAAAUAAAGUUGAUUGGUUGAUAGAAUCAACCACACUCAAAAAAACAAGCAGUUUUAACUCGAGAGAGGAGUAGAAUCAACCACACUAAAAAAAAUAAGCAGUUUUAACUCGAGAGAGGAGUAGAAUCAUAAAGCCUUCGCUGCUGUGAAUGGCGAUCCUGCAAAACAAUUCAUGAUGUAACUGUGAUUUGCAAAGAAAACCAUCCAUGCAUUCAUUUUGAACGUGUGAUAUAAUAACACGUCAUAUCGACAAUGAGAUCCUUGAAAACUGAGCAACGUCACAACAUUAGGUCUGUAAUUUGCCAGUAUAUCUACUGUCUAUGAAAACGCCAAAGUUGAAGACUAAAACUAAGAUACUACAGAGCGUUUUCUGCUCACAGUCACAGCACAUGAAACAGCUAAGAUGUAGAUGUUUCUAUCUUAUUCACAAAGGAACAGUUAGCUCCACAUCCCAAAUUCUAUAUACCAUGGCAUAUUUCUUGUAGCAUAUACCACUCUACUUCACCACAAAACUGGCACGGAGGUUGGAAACCAUAACUGGGCACUCUCCCUUCUCAUCAUAUUCAACAAAGUCCCCUCCCGACAAGUCAACAUGGUCAAAUUUUGUCCCUUCCACCUACAAGAAUGAACACUAGUUUAAGUUGAAAUAAAGAUGCAUCCAGCAGAGUCGAUUGCAGUACAUAAAAAUGAAAACUAGAACUUCAAAAAUCGAAACUAUUCUCCUAUUUUCAAAAAUUCAACAAUUCAAAUGCAAAAAUUCAAUUCACUGGGGCCUCUAGUAAUUCGUUUUUCACUCCUUGUUUCUUUUUCUAAAUUUCAUUAUCAAUCUAAUUUUCACUUUUAUUCUCCUUGGGGUAGGGAAUGGCGAUAGGCGGGCAUGACACUCCUGGCCAAGCAGAACAGUAAAAAUGAGUUGACAUUUGGUGACACCAUCUCUGGUCCAAUCCACAUGGUAGGCUUCCAUAGUAAAUCUAGUGUACAAGACAAUUAUACUGUUUGUGGGAUGCCCUUAACGUCAGAAAAAUAAAAUAUCACUAUUUUCUGCAGUUCCCACCUCUUGAAUAUGAUAUGCUCAUGAGAUGUACUAACCUUAAGAUCUUUAUGCUAAAGGACAGAGACCUGAGCUUUCUCACCCCAAAAAGAAAGGAUCAGAACUCAAAAGGACAAAAAUACCAAAAUAAGCUUUGAAAGGCGCUACCACAUUAUGGAAUAGGAUAUGCAAUCCUUAAUGCUUAAUGUACUAUGUACUAUAAGUACAAACAAGGAGAGUUAAGAAGAGAAGAAUAAAAGAAUUUAUACAUAUGCGCUGAAGUUCAUAGGAGUUAGUGAGAUUUAGUGCUUAGGAAUGUUCGCACGAUUACUAUUUAUAAGACCAUUCAGCUCAAAGGUCCCAGCAAAGUCAUUUUCCAUCCAUAAGUACAAUAAGAAAGUUUUAUACAAUAUGCUACAUAAUUGGAAGGUGGUGUGUGAAGAAGAGAAACUUACAGAUUCAACCUUCCACCCACUAGCAAAUACAUAGUCCACAGGCUCAUAACCCCUGCACUCAAACAUCAUCAAGGGGGAAAAUUUCCUUUCUUCACACAUUUGCUGGGUCAGUGGUUUACCAUGACCUGGCAUCAUUGUCAGAGUUCCAUCCCUUCCACAAAACUUGCACUACAAGGGGAGAUGCAAAUCACCACACAUAUAUAGCAAACUUAACCAGAAAAUAUUCGUUCAAAGAUAAAACAUAAAGGGAACAACCCCCAUAUCCAUGAAUUGAAGAUAUGCAAUAGUAAUAACUUAUGUCAACGUAGUUGACUCAUAUGUCAUCAAAUAGAAACUGCACAGAGAAAUGUGUUGGAACCCACACAUGUAAACUUUAACCAAGAGAAGAGAAAUGAAAUCCCGAUAAAAUCUCAAAGUUGUCGCUACAAUUAGGCACCCAAACAAACAAAGCAUUUGCUCAACCAAACAAGCAUACUACAGAAAACACAAACUACCAUAACUCUUCUGUUCCUUUCCUUCUAUUUCCUCAGAAACUAAAUAUACUUCAAUAAGCUCUUAAAUUCCAAAGCCCAUUGAGCAAUUAGUAGAGAGAGAGAGAGAGAGAGAGAGAGAGAGAGAGAGAGAUAAUGGUUACCUUCUGAACGAGAUUAACGGUUGCCUUGCCCGAUGGAAGAGGAACAGUCUCGUUCAAGCUCACACAAGUUUCCCUCUGGCUCAGCUCUCCACACCUCUCACAUUUCAACUGCAAGAUUACAAAAAGAAUAGAAUCAUGUUAAUAAUGACUAUAUCAAGCUCGGGAGACUAAGCGACGAACAUCGACGUCAAUUUUAAGCUACAACCCCUAGAAAUCUGAACACGAACACCAACUAUAAUGACAAAAUCGACUGCAUUUUUGGAGCAAAAAACUUGACGAAAGGAAAUGAAGGUGACCUUGAAGAGAUAGGAAAAGUUGGGGUCGUUGCAGCCUUCCUGGGGCUGAAGGUUCGUCAGGUUCUCGAGGUCCGCAGCGAUCUGAAGUAAAAAUUUCACCAUUUUCGAUUUGGCGUCAAUCUCGAGCUGCUCACCGCGUCUUUGUCUCACUGUGUGUAGCUAGUGGCAGGAUGAGUAAUAAAUAAGGGGGGCUUGGGCGACGAAUAGACGCUAUCAGUUAAACGGCGUCGUUGUGCGGAAUUUAAUUUUUUUCCGACACGGGGAUUUUUAGCUCAAGUUAACUACAAUUUACCCUAAAAUCGAUGGCCUAUGUUCGAAUCAUCUUUCUUAAUAUCGUUUGUAUUUUAAAAAAUAUUAAAUUAUAUGAAUCAUAUUGUGAUACCUGUUACAAAGAGAAGUUUAAUAUUAUGAAAGUCUUUCAAGUAGCAAAUGUGAAUUAGGUCAGUUAGUCAAAGUAGUGUGUCCAUCUUUUUUCACAUUAGUUUUUAGAUUUAUGAUAAUAGUACUUCAUUUGAAAUUUUGAAGGCCAUUGAAGUGAAGGAACCAAAGCAAUAUUGUAGGAAUUUAACAAUCAUUUUGCCAUUCUAAUUUGUGAGGACACGUCAUAAUGUUAGUCCUCAUACCAUUUUCCAUUUUACACACCGCAGUUCAAAUAUUGGACCAAAAAACAAAACGAAAUUGGCAUGAUUGGAAGGUGAACCAUGCAAAGUUUGCAGAUAUGUAAUCAGAAUCAUGUGCUACAUAUUAUGGAGGCACUGUCCUUGAAGAGAUUCAACUAGUGUUGGGAUCUUAGCCCAUCUCAUAUACUGAAAGAAAGAUAAUUUCCAUUUCAUGAUUUUGGGUGUUUGUGAUUAGUUAACAACAAAUUAAUGGGGGGAAGGGGGUUGUUUGGUGGUGAAGGGAUUGGAAUAAGGGGCAUAAUGGUAAUUAUGUUGGGAGCAACUGUGACUCUUAUUAGAUGUGGGGUGCUUGUGGAGGGUAAGUUGUUCUCUAAACAGAAGAUUUUGGAAGCCGAAAGACAAUUAAACCAACUUAGAAGGCCUGCAGUUAAAACCAUUCAGGUAAGAAUUGUCCAGAACUUGAGCCCUUCACAUAAGUUUUCUGCAUUGUAUUCAUUUACUCAGUUCAUAUUAAUCUCUAUGAUUGCUUGUAGAGUGAAGAUGGUGAUAUCAUUGAUUGCAUUGACAUCUACAAGCAGCCAGCUUUUGAUCAUCCUGCUCUCAGAAACCACACCAUCCAGGUCUGCCUUCUGUUGUGCAAGUUGAAAGUAGACAAAGAUUUACUCUGCAACUUUAAUCUUUUUGCUACCAUAUAACAACUGCUUUGAGUCUUUUUUUCAGAUGGCACCAACAUAUGAUACAACCAAGGAGACAAAGACAAUGAAAAAAAUGGACAGAUGGAAGAAGAGGAAUGAAGAACAAUCUCCCAUUACCGUGAAGCAAACAUGGCACAAAAGUGGAAGCUGUCCUCAGGGAACAAUCCCGGUCCGAAGAAUCCAGAAAAAGGAGCUUCUGAGAGCUAGCUUGGUUAAGGACUAUGGAAGAAAGAAGCACAGUUCUACCUUGUCUCGUCAUGUUUCACAGUUAAGUGACAACAAAACUGUGUACCUUCAACGAGCAAACCACUCGGUACAUCAAUUCCCCACACACACAUUUUUAAUUCAUUGGAAAAUUAACUACAACUAUACACCUAAUGAAGAGGGUUUUUUUUUCUCUGUGUGUAAUUUGUGAUGGCAUCAGAAGGCAAUAUUGUUUACAGAAGGGUACAGAUAUAAUGGAGCCAAAGGAGACAUCAAAGUUUAUAACCCAUCUGUCGAGCUUGAUGAUGAAUAUAGUACUUCUCAAGUUUGUCUCAUAAAUGGUGCUUAUUAUGACUUUGAGAGUGUUGAAUCUGGAUGGGCGGUAUAUAUAUAUUAACAUAAUAAACCCUUUCACUUUCAUCUUGAAGCUACUUACUUCUUCUGUCAUAUUAUGUUCAUGGCAUAACUUUUUAGUCUGAAAAAUUACUCUAAUCCCUCUUCAGGUAAAUCCCAGUGUAUACGGGGACAGACAGACUCGAUUUUUCGUGUAUUGGACUGUAAGCAGCCAUGAAUAAAGACUUAACAUUCAUGCGAGUAAUUCCACUAGAUUUGAUGUGAUUUCUGAUGUUUCUGCAGGUUGAUGGCUCACAGAAAACUGGUUGCUUUGAUCUCACUUGUCCUGGAUUUGUUCAGACUAGCCAUGAAAUUGCUCUUGGUGCAGCAAUCCAUCCAAUCUCUGUUCCUCAUGGGCUUCCAUAUCAAAUAAUAGUCUACAUCUACAAGGUCAGGUCAACAGUUUAACAACAUAACGCGCUUGAUGAACAGUUUAGCAACAUAACAUGUCUAACAUUAUUCGUAAUACUAAAUAAGUUUUCCUAUCGUAUCUUCAAUUGAAUUUCUUUUUUGUUUUGCCUCCAAAUUUAGGAUCCAGUAACAAGCAACUGGUGGGUGCAAUAUGGGGAGAGAAUUAACAUCGGUUACUGGCCGCCGGAGCUGUUUGUUUUAUUGAGCUACCAUGCAACAAGUGUUGAAUGGGGAGGUGAAGUUUAUAGCUCAAGAGUGGGAACUACGCCUCACACAAGAACAGAUAUGGGCAGUGGACACUUUGCUGAGUCAUCAGUUUGGGGGACUUCAGGCGUCAUAAAAAGAAUUCGAGUACAUGAGAAUUCACCUGGGCUGAAAUUCCCUGAUAUAGUUAAUACUUUGAUGGAUGAGUUCAACUGUUAUGAUGUCAAGUAUCUUUCGGAUUAUGUUGAAGAUCCUGAGUUCUAUUAUGGAGGGCCUGGUAGAAAUUAUAUGUGCCCUUAAGCUUAUGUUAACUUUGCUAGGACUUGUUUAAGACCCCAUUAGAAUGGGUAAUUAUGUUGUUUUAAACUUUCAUUAGUUAUUUUUUCAAUAUCAAACUCUGUAAACCCCAUCUUAUUUCUCAAAAUGACAUAGUUUUAGACAUAGACACGAUACAAGCACUAAAAACACAAGUGGAUAAUCCUAUUUCGUCCCCAAAAGGAAAAGCCUUAGAGAGUGGAAAUCUCCUAAUAAAUUGGUAAAAAUUAGGCAUAUUAAUUUUAAUUUCUAUCCAGAGGUUGCGCAAUAUUUGAAUUCAGAUUUAGAGGGAAGUGAAGUUUUUGGUGUAUAGGCAUCGAUUGUGUGUUACACUAACAUAACAUGUAUAACUUUGCACAAACGACUUGGAAUUUCAUUUUUUAUAUAUAUAAUAAUCGAGAAAAAUAUUUGUCUCAUUUCUUAAAAUGAGUCAUUCCUCCUUACAUGCAAAUUACAAUUUGACAUGAUCUACACGUGUUAGGUUGACUCGUUUAAUUCUACUAUUGACACGUAGCAUUAUCUCCUAAUAACAUAGAAAUUUAACAAUCAUACUGUAGAAAUUUAACAAUCAGUUCAUACUGUAGAAACCAAGCCAUACUGUAGAAAUUUAACGAUCAGUUCUUCUUUGGCUAAAGAUUUAUGUAGCUGGGUUUACCAAGGUUAAGGACACACUUGUCCAAAUAUUCAACAGCUACCAUUUUGAAUUUAACACUUGGCAAUUCAAAUAUAGAAUAAAAAUGUGAAAUUUGCAUGAUUUGGAAGGUGAAUCAUGCAAAUUUUGCAGUAUAUGUAGUUUGCAGAAGAUAUGUAUGCUGCACAUUGUGGGUGGCAUUGUCCUUAAAUAACCUAAGCUUAACUUAGAUUCUGAAAGCAAGAUAAUCAGUUUCCAUUUUAUGAUUUUGGGUAUUUAAAUUACCUGAGAUUUAGUAUAUAAUCAAACAAAUGGGGAAAGGGUUGUGUAGUGGUGAAGUGAUUAGAUUAAGGGGGAUGAAGAUGAUGGUAAUUAUGUUGGGAGUGACAGUGACUCUAAUUAGAUUUGGGGUGCUUGUAGAGGGUGAUUUGUUCUCUAAACAAAAGAUUUUGGAAGUUGAAAGAAAAUUAACCCAACUUAGAAGACCUGCAGUUAAAACCAUUCAGGUUUGAAUUGUCCAGAAUGAGCCCUCCACACAUAAGUUUUUUUAUUAUUGUAUUCAUUCUCAGCUCAAAUGAUUGUUUGCAGAGUGAGGAUGGUGAUAUCAUUGAUUGCAUUGACAUUUACAAGCAGCCAGCUUUUGGUCAUCCUGCUCUCAGAAACCACACCAUCCAGGUCUGCCUUUCUGUUGUUCUAGCUGAAAGUAAAAAAAAGAAAAGAUUUACUCUGCAACUUCAAUCUUUUUACUACCAUAUAACAAGUGGUUUGAGUCUUUUUUUAGAUGGCACCUACAUAUGAUGCAACAAAGGAGACAAAGACAAUGGGAAAAAUGGACAGAUGGAAGAAGAGGAAUGAAGAACAAUCUCCCACUACAGUGAAGCAGACAUGGCACAAAAGUGGAAGCUGUCCUCAGGGAACAAUCCCGGUCCGAAGAAUCCGGAAAAAGGAGCUUCUGAGAGCCAGCUCGGUUAAGGACCAUGGAAGAAAGAAGCACAGUUCUACCCUGUCUCGUCAUGUUUCAGAGUUCAGUGACAACAAAACUGUGAACCUUCAACGAGCAAACCACUCGGUACACCAAUUCUCCACACACACAUUUUUUAAUUAAUUGGUAAAUUAACUACAACUAUACAUCUAAUGGAGAGGGGUUUUUUUGUUUUUUGGUUUUUGUGUUUGUGUAAUUUGUGAUGGCCUCAGAAGGCAAUAUUGUUUACAGAUGGGUAUAGAUAUAAUGGAGCCAAAGGAGACAUCAAAGUUUAUAACCCUGCUGUUGAGCUUGAUGAUGAAUAUAGUACUUCUCAAGUUUGUCUCAUAAAUGGUGCUUAUUAUGACUUUGAGAGUGUUGAAUCUGGAUGGGCGGUAUAUAUAUUAAAAUUAAUAAACCUUUUCACUUUCAUCUUGAAGCUACUUACUUCUGUUACAUUUUAAGUUCACGGCAUUACUUUUUAGUCUGAAAAAAUGCUCUGAAUCCCUUCAGGUAAAUCCCAGCGUAUACGGGGACAGACAGACUCGAUUUUUCGUAUACUGGACUGUAAGCUGGCAUGAAUCAUAAAUUAGUUUUCAUAUGAGUAAUUCCACUAGAUUUGAUAUGAUUUCUGAUGUUCCUGCAGGUUGAUGGUUCAAAGAAAACUGGUUGCUUUGAUCUCACUUGUCCUGGAUUUGUUCAGACUAGCCAUGAAAUUGCUCUUGGUGCAGCCAUCUAUCCAAUCUCUGUUCCUAAUGGGCUUCCAUAUCAAAUAAUAGUCUACAUCUACAAGGUCAGGUCAAUAAUUUAACAACAUAACGUACCUAACCGAUAGUUUAGCAACAUAACAUGUCAACAUUACUACUUGUAACACGAUAAUAGGUUUUCUUCUCGUAUCUUCGAUUGAAUUUCUUUCUGUUUUUGUCUCCAAAUAUAGGAUCCGGUAACAAGCAAUUGGUGGGUGCAAUAUGGGGAGAAAAUUAACGUCGGUUAUUGGCCGCCGGAGCUGUUUGUUGCACUGAGCUACCAUGCAACGAGUGCUGAAUGGGGAGGUGAAGUUUAUAGCUCAAGAGUGGGAACAACUCCUCACACAAAAACAGAUAUGGGCAGUGGACACUUUGCUGAUUCUGUUUGGGGGACUUCAGGCGCCAUAAGAAGAAUCCGAAUACAUGAGAAUUCACCUGGGCUGAAAUUCCCUGAUAUAGUUACUACUUUGAUGGAUGAGUUCAACUGUUAUAAUGUUAGGUAUCUGUCAGAUUAUGUUGAAGAUCCUGAGUUCUAUUAUGGAGGGCCUGGCAGAAAUUAUAUGUGCCCUUAAGCUUAGCUUAGCUUUGCUAGGACUUGUUUAAGACCCAUUAGAAUGGGUAAUUAUGUCGUUUUAAACUUUCAUUUAUUUUUCCAAUAUAAACUAUAAAAACCCAAAACUCUUAUCCUCAAAAUAACGUAGUUUUGGACAUAAACACCAAAAACACAGAUGAUUCUAUUUGUGAGAAUGUGAAGGUAAAGAGUCCCACAUUGGAAAGUUGAGAAACCUAGCAAGGGCUUAUAAGGAGUUGGGUUACUCCCCCCAUUGCCAAUUGGUUUUGGGGUAGAACCUCAACUUCCUUCAUGGUAUCAGAGCAAGGCUUCACAUGUUGAGCCCAACAGCCACACGUGCUCCCACGUCACCCAAUAUGUGUUGUCCACGUGUUAGGCUUGAAAGUUCGCCACACGUGCGGGGGCGUGUUGAGAGUGUUUGUCCCACAUUGAAAUGUUAAGGGACCUAGCCUGGGUUUAUAAGGAGUUGGGCAACUCCCCCCAUUGCCAAUUGGUUUUGGGGUGGAACCUCAACUUCCUUCAUGGUAUCAGAGCAAGGCUUCACGUGUUGGGCCCAACGGCCACACGUGCUCCCACGUCACCCAAUAUGUGUUGUCCACGUGUUAGGCUUGAAAGUUCGCCACACGUGCGGGGGCGUGUUGAGAGUGUCACGUGCUCCACGUCACCCAAAAUGUGUUGUCCACGUGUUAGGCUUGAAAAUUCGCCACACGUGCGGGGACGUGUGAGAAUGUGAAGGUAAAGAGUCCCACAUUGGAAAGUUGAGAAACCUAGCAAGGGCUUAUAAGGAGUUGGGUUACUCCCCCCAUUGCCAAUUGGUUUUGGGGUGGAACCUCAACUUCCUUCACUAUUUCAUCCCAAAAAAGAAAAGCCUUAUGGAGUGGAAAUCUCCUCAUUAAUUGGUAAAAUUUUGCGUUAGUUACUUACCAUCUUCAAUUUGACCGAAGUUCUAUCCAAAGGUUGCACAAUAUUUGAAUUUAGAUUUAGAGAGAAGUGACGUUUUUGGUGUAUUGGCGUCGAUUAUGUAUACAUUAACAAGUUCAAUUUUGCACAAAGGACUUGGAAUUUUUUUAUUUUUUUUAUAAAUAAUAAAUCAAGAAAAAUAUUUGGUUCCUUGUUAAAAAUGAGUCAUUCAUUUUCAGAAUGCAAAUUAAUUUGACAUGAGUGUAAAUUUUUUAACAUGCUUUUAAUAAGUUAUUUAUGUAUAAGUGUUAAGUUGCGAUUUGAAUGUAAGGAGAAACGACUCAGUUAGUUCUAUAAAUCAAACUAGAAGAAACACAUACACAUCCGUGUGUAAUUUGCUAAUUUGUAAUACCGGUUGCAAAGAGAAAGUAGGUAUGGUGGAAGCCUUAAAAGUCCCCCAAUACAUUGUAUAGCCGUGCGGCUCUACUUUUAAAAUUUUCUAUUUAUAAAGUAUAGCCGGCUAUACCCUAAAAACGCCGUGAAAGCAAAUUCUUUCUUUAUAUAUACUAGCCUCUCUACACGCGCUUCCGCGCAUGCGAGAGGUUUUUUUAAAAAAAAUUUUAAAUUUAUUUUAGAAUUAAAAAAGAUAAUAGAUAUUUGUGUUCCAUAAAAAUAGGAUCCAUUAUCUGAAUUUUCUUUUUUUUUUAAUUUUUUUAAUGCGAAAAAUUGUGAAUUUACCAUAUUAUCCUCAUUUAAUUAAUAAUUUCAAUUCUUAAUGUUUGCAUUAACCAAGGGUAUUUUCUGGUAUUUUGAAUGUUUCACCAUUCUCUGCCUUUUGCUUUAUAUAUAUAGAUAGAUAUAUACAUUACCGCCCAAUAGAUUUGUAAUUCAAAGCCGUGCGGCUAUACUAUUUUUUAUAAUAACAACCAUAGUAUAGCCGACCGGCUAUACCCUUUUUAUUAUAUAAAAAAAAUCCGAGUAUAAGUACCAUUUUUAAAAGAGGACCCACUGGAGCCUAGCGCCCCCUUUUGCCAUGUGUCAAAAAUAGUACAGCCGAGCGGCUAUACGCAAUUAAUUAUAAAAAAAUAAGUGUAGCCGAGCGGCUAUACUAUUUAUAAUAAAAAAGGGCCACCGCUUAACGAGCAUGGCCAAAGUAUAGCCGCGCGGCUAUACUCUAUAAAUAUAAUAUUCUGAAGGUAUAGCCGGUUGGCUAGACUCAUACUCGUUUGCCCGUAAUUUGUUUUUAAAAAGUAUAGCCGACCGGCUGGACUCGGCAUUUUCUUAAUUGUUUUUUAAAAAUAGUAUAGCCGAGCGGCUAUACCCGGGUUUUUAAUUUUAUUUUAGGGUUCAGGGUUUAGGGCGGCUAUACUCGUUUUCCCCUAAUUUUUUUAAGAAAUAGUAAAGCCGAGGGAAGGAAUCAAGCCAUAUUGUAGAAAUUUAACAAUCAUUAAUUCAUUGGCUAAAGAUUUGUGUAGCUAGGUUUAACCAAUUCUAAGGAAUUGUUUAAAUAUUCAACAGGAUACCAUCUUGAAUUUAACAUGUGACAAUUCAAAUAUUGAAUAAAAAUGUGAAAGUUGCAUGAUUGGAAGGUGAAUCAUGCAAAUUUUGCAGAUAUAUAUAGUUAUCAGAAAAUAUAUAUAGGUUUAGGAAGAUAACCCAAGCUCAUCUUAGAUUCUGAAAGGAAGAUGAACAAUCUCCAUUUUAUAAUUUUGGGUAUUUGAAUUACCUGAGAUUUAGUACAUAUCAGACAGAGUUUAGUUAACAAAAAAUGGGGAAAGGGUUGUCUGGUGGUGAAGUGAUUAGAUUAAGGGGGAUGAUGGUAAUUAUGGUGGGAGUGACAGUGACUCUAAUUAGAUGUGGGGUGCUUGUGGAGGGCAAUGUGUUCUCUAAACAGAAGAUUCUGGAAGUUGAAAGAAAAUUAACCCAACUUAGAAGGCCUGCAGUUAAAACCAUUCAGGUUUGAAUUGUCCAGAACUUGACAUAAGUUUUCUUCUCAUUGUAUUCAUUUAAUCAGCUCAUAUGAUUGCUUGUAGAGUGAGGAUGGUGAUAUCAUUGAUUGCAUUGACAUUUACAAGCAGCCAGCUUUUGACCAUCCUGCUCUCAGAAACCACACCAUCCAGGUCUCCCUUGUAUAAGUUCUAGUUGAAAGUAAACACAUUUUUCUUCUCUGUGACAUUAUAUAUUUACUGAUAAUCUAACAAAUGCUUUGAGUCUUUUUUCAGAUGGCACCAACAUAUGAUCUGACGAAGGAGACAAAGACAAUGACAAAAAUGGAUAGAUUGAAGAAAAGGAGUGAACAAUCUUCCGUGACAGCAAAGCAAACAUGGAAGAAAAGUGGAAGCUGUCCUCAAGGAACGAUCCCAGUCCGAAGAACUCGAAAAAAGGACCUGCUUAGAGCUAGCUCAGUUAAGGACUAUGGAAGAAAGAAGCACAGUACCCUGUCUCGUCAUGUUGCAGAGCCUAGUGACAACAAAUCUGUCUACCUUCUACGAGCAAACCACUCGGUACAUUAACUUCCCAUUUUCACAUUUUUAAUUGAUAAAUUAAUCACAUCUCAUGAAGAGGGGUUUUUUUUUUGUUGGUAAUUUGUGAUGUCCUCAGAAGGCAAUAUUGCUUACAGAAGGGUACAGUUAUACUGGAGCCAAAGGAGACAUAAAAGUUUGUGCCCCUUCUGUUGAGCUUGAUGAUGAAUAUACUACUUCUCAAGUUUGUCUCAUAAACGGUCCAAGUUUUGCCUUUGAGAGUGUUGAAUCUGGAUGGGCGGUAUAUUAACAUAAACCCUUUCACUUUCAUCUUGAUGCUACUUACUUCUGUUACAUUCUAUGUUCAUGGCAUAACUUUUAGUCCGAAAAAUUACUUGGAAUCCCUCUUUAGGUAAAUCCAAGCGUCUAUGGGGACAGAAAUACUCGAUUUUUCUUAUACUGGACUGUAAGUUGACGUGUUUCAUGACUUAGUUUUCAUGUGAGUAAUUCCACUAGACUUGAUGUGAUUUCUGAUGUUCCUGCAGGCUGAUGGUUCAAAGAAAACUGGUUGCUUUGAUCUUACCUGUCCUGGAUUUGUUCAGACUAGCCAUGAAAUUGCUCUUGGUGCAGCAAUUUAUCCAAUCUCUGCUCCUGAUGGGCUUCCAUAUGAGAUAAUUGUCUACAUCUUCAAGGUCAGCUCAACAGUUUAGUAACAUAACAUGUACAGUUUAGCAACAUAUAUAUCUGAUAUCUGAAAAAGACAAUGUAAUAUUAAGUGUUCUUCUCAUAUCUUCGAUUGAGUUUCUUUUUUAUUUGCUUCCAAAUUUAGGAUCCAGUAACAAGCAAUUGGUGGGUGCAAUACGGGGAGAGAAUUAACAUCGGUUAUUGGCCUCCGGAGCUGUUUUUUGCAUUGAGCUAUCAUGCAACAGGUGUUGAAUGGGGAGGUGAAGUCUAUAGCUCAAGAGUUGGAACUACUCCCCACACAAAAACAGAUAUGGGGAAUGGACGCUUUGCUAGUACUGCGGGAUUUUCAGGUGUCAUAACAAGAAUGAGAAUACAUGACAAUUCACCUGCACUGAAAAUCCCUGAAUGGGCUGAGACUUACAUGGACGAGUUCAAUUGCUAUGAUGCUAUCUAUGUUGAAGACUACGUUGAAGAUCCUGAGUUCUAUUAUGGAGGGCCUGGUAGAAAUUAUAAGUGCCCUUAAACUUAGCUUAGCUAGGAAUUGUUUAAGACAACACAAGUCGAUAAUACAAUUUCGUCCCGAAAGGGAGAACAUUUCCAAUUAUCAAUGUUUACCAAAAUGGCAUAUCAGCUUAAUUUCCAGGUUUCCAAAUGAGGUUUUUUUCUUGGUAGGUAACAUGGAAUCUGUGUUUGUAUGUAGUCGGUAUAGCAUAUCUUAGAAGAAAGUGAGACAGAAAGGUAACAGAGAUGUUAAGCAAAUGUCCACGAUUCACAAUAUGUGACUCUCUAAAUUAAAUGAAGGGACAAAAUGCUGCUAAUGGGAACAUCUUAAUUCACUGGAUAAAGAUAAAACCCGUUUUCUGUACAUGCAAUUAUGUCCAAAUAUUGCACCAAGACAAGAGUACUUAUUAUGUUUCUAUAUUUAAGAGAGGCGUGCAUGAACUGCACAUUUGACAUGUGGAUGAAGCCGCGAGGACUUGCAUCAUAUAUAUAAUAACACAUUAUCUUCUUUCUUUUCAACCAGACAUGCCUUCAUUUGGUUUCUCAAAGGUUAAUUUUACCACCUAAUUAUCCUGUUAAUUUUAUCUAUAGCUUGAUUGUAUCUCUCUGUGUGUACAAGAGUGUAAGUGAGACACAAAAAGAGAUUGAAGAUGGGGAAGAAGAGGGCUUUAAUGUUCUCGUUAGCAUUGGGAUUGUUUGUUUUUUGUGUUAGUGCAGCAGAACAUCACCAUGUGAAGGCUAAAACUAAACGAAUUUCUUUGGAAGUUCAUAAGAAGUUGAAGCUUUUGAAUAAGCGUGGCGUGAAGACUAUCAAGGUCUGAUUUUCUGCCAUUUUUAUUAGCUUUCUGACUAAUCACACUUUCACAGAAUUUUAUCUAUAUCAGAUCUGUUAUACAAUUUUCUUUCAGCAGUCUUCUCCAUUUCAAAAUUUAGCUCAACCCUUUGUGCUAUUGCCUCUGCUGUCUUAAAUUUCACAAUUUCUUCUUUGUUGUGCUACUGCUAUGACUUGGUAAGCUCAGAGGACUGACUGUAUGUUUUACCACUUGAUUAUUUGAUUUCUUGCAGAGUGAGGAUGGAGAUAUCAUUGACUGUGUUGACAUCUACAAACAGCCUGCUUUUGAUCAUCCGGCAUUGCGCAACCACAAAAUUCAGGUCGACUUUUAAACCUUUGUACAUUUGGAGAAUGUAUGAAACAAAAAAUAAAACAUUCUCCAAGUUUUAAAAACGUUUUAAAAACAAUCUCCAAGUUUUAAAAACGUUUUAAAAACAAUCAUGUUUUCUUCCAAAUGUUGAUAUAGUUGGUGUAUAAUAUUGCAGAUGAGACCCAGUAAUCAUGUACAAAAUGAUCAUAAUUCUUCUCAGCUGGUAUCUCAAAUUUGGCAAAGGAGCGGAAGCUGUCCAGACGGAACCAUUCCCAUUCGGAGAAUUCGAAAGCAAGAUUUAUUGAGAGCUACUUCACUUGAAAACUUUGGGAAGAAAAUGCCAGUGCAUUCUUCCUACUCCCCCACAGAUGACAAGGGCACUGUGUACAUCAACAGCACCCGAGUCGAACUCGGGCCUCAAGUCAAUCGUUCAGUAAGCAAACAUCGUGAAGAUUUAAUUAACAAAGUUUACUUUGAUCCUUGUCUAACUUGUGCAAAACUGUGUUUGCUAGGCUGCUAUCCUGUUAACUACUGGAUACAAUUACAUAGGUGCUCAAGGAGAUAUAAAUAUUUGGACUCCAAGAGUUGAAUCACCAGAUGAGUUCACUACUGCUCAAAUCUGGCUUAAGAAUGGACCUGGAGAGGCUUUUGAAAGUGUAGAAUCAGGCUGGGUGGUAAGUAGUAUAUUAUGGUAACUUCAUUUGGAAAAUAUUACUUUUCAACUAUCAGUUCCUCAAAAUCACUCCAUAUAUGUGUAUAUAACUGCUACUCUUUUUUGCUCCUCUUCGUUUGGCUUUGGACAGGUAAACCCAAAGGUAUAUGGUAAUGGAGCAACUCGACUUUUUGUAUAUUGGACUGUAAGUACUUCAUUACAAAAUGAUCAAAAGAACAGGAAAAUGUAGCAUAUAUUAUGUUUGCUCCAUCUGAAAUGUGCCUGCACUUAAUUCUUCUUUUUUUUUUUGGGUUUUUUCAGAAGGACUCAUACAAAUCAUCAGGCUGCUUUGAUCUCACCUGCCCAGGAUUUGUGCAAACCAACAAAGACAUAGCCCUUGGUAUGGUCCUUGGACCUGUAUCAUCUAAAAUGGGACCCCAAUAUCAAACCACCUUCAGCAUCACCAAGGUUUGAAAAUCUUAAUCACUUUUCGUGCAUUCAAAUCAUUUCCAUUGUUAGUCAACGGGAUUUAGCCCAGUGAAAAGGGCUUUGACUUGCAAACCAGUGGUCUCAAGUUCGAAUCCCCAUGGCACAUUGACAGUUGCAUGUGCGAGAAAAACCCAUCCCCUUCCUAAAUUUGACGCACAAAAAAUACAUUUCCAUUGUUGAACAAAAAUGUGAUGGUUUAAAACAUACGUUGUAGGAACCAAGCACAGGAAAUUGGUGGGUGCGUAUUGGCCAAAACGUUCCUGUGGGAUAUUUUCCUGGAGAGCUCUUCUAUUAUUUGACACGCGGUGCUGCAACAUUAGUUGAAUGGGGAGGAGAAGUGUUUAGCUCCAAGGUGAAGCAAAAUCAUCCACACACUGCAACAGGGAUGGGAAGUGGAGAUUUUGCAUCGGGCAAAUUGGGCAAUGCAUGCUAUGUGAAGCAAGUUAGGAUUAUAGAUUAUUCAAAGCAAUUGAAGUACCCAGAAUGGGUAGGCACUUAUUCAGAUGAAGAGUAUUGCUACUCUGCAUUGAACUACGCUCUGUCACUUGCUCAAGAACCUGUGUUCUACUUCGGCGGACCGGGUCGAAAUCCUCCUUAUUGUCCCUAAGUUGUUCAUAAUCUCAAAUGAGGACGCUUAAUUUCCAUAGUUUUUUCUUGAAAUAAUGUCCAAAUAUAUGAUGGCUUGAGCCAAUGUAGCAAGACUAUUUUAUAUUUGAAGCCUAUUGUUAUUGAUUUAUAUGUGAUCAGAAAUGGACUUAUAAUUUUGGUCCCAUUGUCUGCGAUCCUCUUGCAUUGCUCACUGGUUGUGCUUUCACAGAGAUACAUCUACAUAUAUGAGCAUAUAAAAGCCAAAUUACAAGAGAUUUAUCAACAUAAUUGGUCUAAUAGCCCUAUUAACUUUAUUGGCCUCCUCACAUUCUGAGGUUUCGAAUGAUUAGGUUUUUUUUUUCUUUCUUAUUUUAAAUUUGGUGAAUAAUUAAAAUGGAUUUUGAGUUUGGUAAUUAAGGUGAUCACUUGUUCAGUAUUGACAAAGCUUGGAUCGAAAGUAACAUAAAAGGACGGUACAAUUUCUGGAACUUGAUUUUCACUUUUUAGCUUGAACUUCCAGACAACAAUAUCAGAUAUUCAAAAAUGGACAAUUACUCCUAUUACCCAAAUAGUUGCUACCUAUGCCCAAUAACACAAUACAUGAGGGGAAAUAUCGCAUAUUCAGAUUACACUGCUCAGGUUGUGGUAUUCCAGAGGUAUACAAGAUAUACAUAUACGAAGAAUAUACAAUCACAAGAUCAAGAAAUAAGGAAAACCCCAUUACAGAAUAUCAUACCAAAAUGGCCAGGCCACACCAACUUCGAUGAGACCAAUAUCAUUUGCAAGCCAAUGAGAGAAAAUCAGCUAGAUCGAAUCAUGCUGUUUUCUCUCUUCUUGUAUAGAUUGGAAAAUACGAGCAGCUGAUGCAGUUGCAGUUCUUGGAUUGUGUGGCACAACUCUAAUCGCUCGUGUUGGCUGGCCUGAAUCAUGAGGUUGGGCAACUCCUUCUGGAAUUACCGGAGCCAUUGGAAAAAGUUGAAGAGCAUCACUUCCUUCAGCAUUUUGAUCUGUCCCCAAUCGUGCUGUGUCACCUGGACUAUUUGCAGUACUUCCUUGUAGCUCACUGUCGUUAGAUGCCUGAAACAUCAUGGCAUGAGGAAUAGCUCCACUUUUCUGGGAUGGCAUAUUGCAUGAGCUUUGAUGCUGCACAUUAGAGUUUGUUCCCCCUCCUGAUAACUGAUCGAUUUGACCAUGUGAACCAGGUCCGGCAAACCAAUGCAUUUGUUCAAUGCCUGAGCUUGGCAUGGCUGGAUUCAUAACGGACAUGCCAUAUGGAGGAAAGUAAGUAUGGCCUAAUGGAGGAGGGGCAGGAAGAACCCCCGUCCCUUGAUGAUGAUGAGAAGCUGGAACCCCAUAGUUUGGCUUAACAAAGUUACCCGUCAUGGGAGUUGAGUUGAAAGGUCCACAUCCUCCACAAACUGGUCCCAUAAAUCCAGGUCCAUGAUAUGGCUUAUAUACAAGUCCUUCAGAGGGAGACAUUACAGGAAUUAACAACUGGUGUCCAGGUGAUUGAUGGAAACACCAAGGACUGGCUUUAUUAUCAGUACCGACAGGUGUUGGCUGUGGGUUCCCUACAUAUGGCCCAUAAUUUGAAGUCUGACUACCAUUUUUCACAGAAGAAAGAGAUGUUUUCCCAACUGCAUUUUCUGCGGAACAUUCAAUUUUGUUGUUUGGCUUCUCAGGUUCAUGUUUGCGCUUUACAACACGUAGUAGUGGCUUUACAACAUACUCUGAUGAAAGUUUCUUUGCAGGAGAACCCCUUAAAGAAGAUGUGCCUAGGAAAGCAGUAUCUUCAAGCAAAAGAUUAGGAGACCCAGCAAUCAGUCGUUGGACCUGUUGAAAACAACUAGAAAGUUAAAAAUCUACCCUCCUGUAGUCCUUUUGGGGUUCAAAUAGCAUCAUUUAUUCUGUGUUUAUAUAUACAUUUUUUUUUUUGGGACUAUAUACACAUAUAUGUUUAUUUGCAUCUCAUAAUUGCAUUCCAAGAGAAGCAGAAUUACAGGGUCAGAGACUAUGUUAUAGUCUUACCUUAAUGAGCCUAUGCAACUCAAAUACUUGCACUGCAAACAAUCUUUGCUGACUGUAGAAAGUAACAGGGGUUGGAUCAAAAACAUAAUUAUACAACAUAUACCAAAUCAUAUGAAACUUGGCAAAACACAAAACCGAAACCAAUACAAGGAAAAAAAAAGAACUGAACAGAAAUGAAGGAUCAGGCACUUGAAAGAAUCAUUUAUACCAAAACAAUCCUUACUGUGUAAUAUAUUCCAUAUAAAACUCACAUUAUGUAAGAGAUAACAGCCAAAGGACUAGGUGCUUUAAUCACAAAAUAUCUGCUUACCCCAUGAAAAGCACCAUAGCCUAUUAACUCCACAUGACCACACCCCCAAGCUAAUCCUUAGACUUGAUAUUGAUCAGGAGUGCAGGCAAAUAUGACAUUUACCAAACAUGGGAAGAAAACAUCUUAAGGAUGGAUUCAGAAAAUUGCACAUCAGAAAAUAGUUAUAAACAAUGAGGCACAGAUCAGUAAAAUAAUAACAAAAAAUAAUAAUAAUAAUAAUAAUAGUGAAUACAAUAAAAAGGAAAGCUAAAUGCUAAAAACACUAUCUUCAGAGCAAUAAAAACGAAAGCUAAAUGCUAAAACAGAUUCGAAAACAUAGCAACUAUCUGCAAUAUAAAUCAAGAUGUCUGCAAAUCUCCUUUAUUUCACAUAAUUAGAGCUCCAAAUAUGUAAUAUUCAAUCAAAACCAUAUAAGAACUAUACAUUCAGUUGUAUGGAUGUCAUAAAUGAUCCUCGUUACAACAAAGUCGGACAGCAAGCGCAUAAUAGAGCUUUCUAAUUCACAUGUAAAUACUUACAGCUCUUUUCUUAUAGUACAGAAAGAAAGAAAAUACAAAACCUUCAAUAACGAAAAAAGAAUAUGUAAUGAUGAGAAGAAGCCAUAUAUAGGGGAAAUCUCAUAUUCUAUAAAGCAUAUAAAAAGAGUACGCAACCCCAACCCAACAAAAUCUUCCAACACAGGACAUCAAAGCACUACAUAAGAGAUGUAAUCCUCCUCACCACCAUGUCCACCACCAAUUCCACAAUGUCAAAUAUAGUCCAAGAUCCACAAAAUGUAGUCCCAAGGAUAAUCCUUCAUCACUUGUUCCCCUCCUUGCUCCCAGCCCUCAAGUGCCAUGAAGGGAAAAUUUUCCCAGUGGCCAAAAAACCAAAGCAUUACGAAACCGAGACAGGAAUACACCCAAAAGGCAGAUACAAAAGGGCAAUGAAUAAUGAGAUGAUCCGCUGUCUCGGAGGUCGCGUUGCACAAGAUAACUCUAUUAAGAUGUAUGUUUCCCUGCUUUAAGAUGAUCCAUAUCCACUGUUAAAAUGUUAUCGAGGGCCUUUUAACAAAAAGAAAUUCCACUUUAGAAGGGAUCCAGGGACUCUGCACUAUGAAAUAUCACCUCCCUCAAAGUCGCAUUUAAACAAAAUUCAGUCUAUAGUCCUAGUUGUUAUAUUUGAUGGUGUAAACGCUUAUGAAACAAAAAAUCCAAAGUACAAGUGUGGAAAUAUUAAAUAAAACAGAGGUAUUAUGAGACCAAAAUGCUUCACAAGGACAGCAAAACAUGUACUAUAUUUGGAAAAGGGUAAACUUCAAAUUAAGCACAAAGUAACAACUGAAUUGGAGCAGCUAUUGGAGAAAAUAGAGACUUACUUGACGAUUGCUUUUCUUGCCUUCCAGAAAUGUUUCUGACCUAUUAUUCCUACAACGUCAUCGGGAGAGAUAUCCAAGCCAGAUAUAGAAUCCACCAUGGAGGUCUCUGAGACAUCAUCACUUUUGUCUACAUGUCCCAUUUGAGGUGAAAUACACGUUCUAUCUCCACGGUAUUCACUGUCAUUAUCAAGCUCAUUGGGACCACCAGGAUCCUCCCCAGAAUAAGACAGACUUCUUUCCUGGAAAACAGCUCCCUUCUCUACAUCUCUUGUACACUCAACAAGACCAUCACCUUGCCCAGUGAUGUUUGGCUGUGAUCCAGAUCUAGACUCUUGUUGUAAGCAAGCAUCACUCUCAGAUAACCUGCUGAAUCUAGGAACAGGAUAGUCUGCAUACUCUUGAUUUGGAGAUGCACUUACUUCUUCUGCAGGCCCAUCAAUCUUUUGUCUAGUUGAUAUUUUUGUGGCAGAUUUUGCUGAAUGGUCCCUAACCGGGCCACUUACUUUUAUUAGAUCCUCUUCUCUUUCACUUCUCAAUUCUCGUCUCAAAUUGAGAGUAGUUGGGGAGCUUAAUUGUUUUGGAUCCUUCUUGCCCGUAUUUUUUAGUUUCACUGUAUGGCCAGAAUGAGAUGGGCCGAUUGGAGCAAGUUUUUCCUUAUCAAUACCAAUUUGAGUUUUACUAUGACAAAGACCCAUCCUUGAUUGAACAAAUACAGGCACCCUAAAAUCAUCCUCCUCUCCGACUUUCUUUCUUUGGUCGGGUUGUGUCAAGGGCGUGUUCUCAUUUGCUCCAUCAGAUUGACGAGCAUGAAACAUCUCAGCCUGACGACUAGGUGUAGAUGGAUGAACAUGAAGCGGAACAGGCAAAUUUCCUUCAGAACGACUUCCCUGAAAACAUAAAUUGCUCCAGAAAAAUCAGAUAUGAAAUAACCAAUUUUCCCUAUAGAAGCUUCCAAUACUAUUUCUGAAAACACUAUUGAUUUUCCCUUCUUAAAGUGCAGAUAUAGCAAUAUUGGUUAUAUUGGCAUUUUCUUUUCUGGACUGAACUAUAUUGGCAAUAAAACACAACACAUGUACAUAGUAGCAUGCAAAACUACUGGAUAUAGCAUAAAACAGAAUUUGUAGUUAGCUACUACAAAAACAGAAAACAAACCUAGUGAAAUCCAUAACCUAACUAAAGCUUAAAAGGAUAACACUUCAAAACUAAUCCUCAGUAAACCUUAAACGAGAAAGCUAGGCACAAAUUAUGAGUUUACCUGGCUCGAGAAAGCUGAGGGAACCACACUGCUAGUGUUAUUUGGAUUAAGAGGCAUCACCACAGGGUUGAACCUCUGAGAAGGGAUACUGAGCUGUUCAUAGAGCGCCAUCUUAUUCCUUGGAGGUGCUCUUGGCCCUCCUUUAUCUGCAUCAUUCACAUGGAGUCUUGGGAACAUAGGUCCCAUAACCUUUUCUUCGUUCCCUCUCUUCAUUUUCAACACCAACACCAAGUCCAAAAAUCUAUUCUUAUAUUAAAUUCCCAAAACCACCCUCAAAAACUCAAACUUGUUCAAACCCAUGCACCAAAAACAUCUCUUUUGUUGAAAUUGUGCUCGCUAAAACGAGAAUACCAAAAGGGAUCUAACAAAAUCCCAGCUAGCUAAAAGCCUUCUCCUUUCUCAUAAUAGAUCAAAUUCCAGAAAACCCAGAAGCAGACCAGGCUUCUAAAACCUGAACCGACAUAAACAGACUCAGCUUAUCACACCCGAAAAAACCAAGCUCCAAAUUAGGCAAGACCCAGAUGUCAAACACCAAAAGUAAACAGAUUCCCUUUGAAAAAACGAGAGAUUUCUUCACAACCCAGCUGGGAAAAAAGGGUACUUGAGAACUGAAACUGAUGGAGGAACGAACUAAAAGCGUGAAUUGUGGAAAAGAAGGGAUAGGAAUAAAAGAAGAGCCAAGAAAGAGAUUGGGAGUUGAGGGCUGAGAAAGGCUAAGGCUUAUUUUAGGGAUUCCGCAAAGGGAUCGUCUUCUUAGAAAAAGGAAAAGUGAAAAGUGCGGGGGUUGGUUGGGCCCUUGUUUGGGAUAGACCCAGAAGAAGACUAGAACCUCCUCUUAAGAAUAGAAAAAGACCAUAUGUUGCCAUUGCCAACUUGGAAUUAUCUUUUUCUCAAGACUACUCCUUCUGGUAUAAUAUAUUUUUGUCUGAACCAUGAUUAACUCUUUUUUUAACUACUUUAUCUGAACAUAAUUCAACUCAACGAGACGGAUGAGGCCAUUUUAGUUGAGAUCAUAGGAAAAUUGAAUAUACAUGGUACAAACCCAAUUACCUAUGGUAUUUUAUUCUCAAUUCUGAUAAGUGUCUAAUAUUCAUAUUUUUUAUCUCGGUCGCAUAUGAGUUACAUUCGAGUAAGUGAUGUAUGUGCAUGAUUAUAAGUCUUUUUAUUUAUGCAGACGUAUGAUUAUAAGUAAUUGAUGAAAUGAGUCUCACAAUUCACUAAUGUCUAACGAGACACAUGCACAAUGCACAAACGACUGACGAUAACAUUCUCUUAUAUCCUCUCAUUCCUUUUUUCUUUUCUAUUUUGUUAUAAUCUCUAUCUUGCCCUCAAGAUUGGCCAUUUGGGUCAAUUUUGCACUUUUUGAUCCUAGGUGUAGCUGGAACAUAAGGGACACGUGUUAGUAACUUUUUUGGAGAGUGGGAUCUAAAUGGUGAACAGCUUGACAAGCAACACAAAAAGUUUGAUUCGGUAAAAUCUGCAGUCGUCACACACAACCAAAACUAUUUUUAUCUGAUUCCAUAAGCAUUAAACCCAAUACUUUUGCCUUUUAUAAACAUUAAACCCCACAUGAUUUUCUCAGAUAACAUGGACAAUAUCACAAAAUGGUAGUAUAGAAUAUAGAAAAUAUAGCACUUUAGACUAGUUUUGGGUUAGGGGGAAUGUGGUCCACUCCUACUACAAGUAUAGAAGUAUUCAUUUUUCUUUGUCAAACCAAAAAAAGUUUCAAUUUUUCUCAAUUGGUUUGUCGAAAAUGAAAUCGGGUCGGGUUAUCCCCACGGGCUGUCGGCUUUCUCAAACUAAAAAUAAAAAUAUAAUAAAAGAAAUGGACAUAAUAUUUGGUGAAGUGGAGAGAGAACCAGGGUUAGUUGGUUUCAGAGGCAAAAUUAGAUUGGCGUGGAUGGUCCGAUCACAUGGCCUCUUUACCUCCUCCAUAUCAGACACACCUUCCUCUAUCGCCUGACCCAGGUGGGUCCUUUCAAUCAGAUCCAAUUCACGAAAGUUUUCAUUUUUAUUACAAGUUUCGUGUGCCUUUGAUUUUAUGUUCCCUUCGGGGUUUGCUCAUUUGCUUGCUGGGAAAAAUGUGGGAAAGAAAAAAGUAUAUGCAAAAUGUUGAAUCUUUGAUGAUCGAUUUACAUAUAUGCGUGACCCCAAAUGAUUUUGAAGUGGGUUUAUGAAUUUGAACUAAAAAAUAUUUCCUUCUUUUUUUUUCUUUAAUUUUCUGGAGCACCCAUUAACCUGUAAAUUUGAGCUAUUUUGUGUGUAUUGCAGGUGAGAAACCCCUAAAUUCUGAACCCCAGUUGCCGCUGGUUCCUAUUCAUGUAGUCACUCGUGCAUCUCAGCUUCCUGCCGAGUUCCUGGAGCCAUCAGCUGAAAGGCAAUUGGUAAUUGGCUUUGAUUGUGAGGGAGUUGACUUGUGCCGUCAUGGAACACUCUGUAUCAUGCAGGUAUGUAGAGUUUUACUUACUCUGUACUCUUAUGAAUAUUUGUUCCACUUCAAAUUUCGUUCCAAUCAACCUCAUUUAGUAGAUGCGUGCCUAAUCCAAACAAGGACAUAUGGGUUGCUACUAAACUACCACAAACAAAAGAAUUAAUAAAAAAAGAAAAGCAGUUAUUUGCAUCCCAAAUUGGUUGUUGAUUGGUUUCUGAUUGAAUUUCAGCCAUUUGCUUGUAUUCCCUUGCAGCUAAAGAAAAUAACGAGAGUAUCUUACUUAUAGGUCUUCUUUAUUGUGAAUUUUCUGCUACUCAUAUCCCUGGUUCUCGUUCUUGUUUUCUUUCUGUCAGCUUGCAUUUCCAGAUGCUAUAUAUCUGGUUGAUGCCAUUCAGGGAGGGGCUAUGCUUAUCCAAGCCUGUAAGCCUGCACUUGAGUCUAGCUACAUCACCAAAGUUAUUCACGACUGCAAACGAGAUAGCGAGGUCUCUGAUUGGUUUUAUUUGCAUCCCAUCAUGUACCUUCUUGUAAUAUGACAUUUCAUUCCCAUGAUUGAAUUUUUUCCUAUUUUAUAGGCCUUGUAUUUUCAGUUUGGCAUCAAGUUGAACAAUGUUGUAGAUACUCAGGUGAGCAUCCUUUAGCACUGGCUUUAACUUUUCAAUGGAUUGUUUUUUUAAGAGAAACGUUGAUUUAUAAGAUAAUUUUGAAUUCUUUCAAUGGAUUGUUGUUUUAAGAGAAACGUAUAAUGGUAGUUAAAGAAGUAAUAUAAUUGAGAUGGAGAAAAUACUCAUAUGCUAAGUGAUUUGAAAUUUCCCUUUUGGUAUUCAGAUUGCCUAUUCGCUGAUAGAGGAACAAGAAGGGAGGAAAAGAUUGCUGGAUGAUUAUAUAUCAUUUGUGGGCCUCCUUGCUGAUCCACGCUAUUGUGGUAUUAUAUAUUUCGUGGUAUCCAUUUGAAGUUUCUGUUUCUGAUCAUAUUUGAUUAUGCUUUUGGAUUACAUUGAUUUUAUGAAAUUAAAUGAUGCUUUUAUUUUUCUAAGAGUUUCGAAUUAAUAUUAACGGGGAAUUUAUUUGAAAGAUCAUUCUUGAAGUACUGCCUCCAAGUAUUUUACGUUAGCUUAUUCCAUACCAGAAGUUUUCUGGAUGACAAAAUAAAAAUAGACAUGAGGGCAUGGUGCGUUGGAUUAUUAAGUUUUGAUCUUCACAUAUGGCUUCAGUUUUCACCGUAAGAGUUUGAAUGCAGGAAUAUCUUAUCUUGAGAAGGAAGAAGUUCGAUUCCUCCUUAGGCAGGUUAGUGCCAACAUCCUAAGAAUUUUUCUGGAUUUUUUUCGUUUUCUUAUUCUCUAUGUUUAGAUUUUCCAUAUAACUCAGUUUGUUACUAGUCUUCUUAUUGUUAUCUGAUACUAUACUAGAUUUCUAAUAAAAUAUAUUGAAGGUUUAAGUCAGUAUGGUGACUGGGAUGUGAUAAUGAGAUUACAGUCCAAUGAACAAUAGGUUUAGAAUCACUCUACAGUGGUUUUAAACUUGAGGUUAUCAACAGAGCAUUAGCCUUAUAACUUAAAUUUGUCUAUUUUGUUGAUUCAUAUUUGCUUUACACUUAGCAAAGGACUUUAGAUAAAUUUGCUUCUAGACCUGUAGUUUUACCAGUGCAGCCACAGUAUUGUUUGGGACUAGGAUCUUCUGUCAAAUGACAUUUAUUUUAUAUGUAAUGUACAGGACCCCAACUUUUGGACAUACAGACCUUUAUCUGAACAGAUGGUCCGUGCAGCUGCAGAUGAUGUCCGCUUUCUUCUGUAUAUCUAUUACAAGAUGAUGGAGAAAUUGAAUCAACAGUCAUUAUGGUAUCUUGCAGUUCGAGGUGCUCUCUAUUGCAGAUGUUUUUGCAUCAACGACAACAAUUUUGCAGACUGGCCACCUCUCCCCCCUAUUCCAGGUAUCGAAUCCUCCCUCACAACUAUACCAAGACUUCAAAAUGAGAUGAAAUAUUUUGCCUUCAUAUAAAUACGUUCUCAUAUGAAUACAAGCUUAAAGCUAUUAUGUCUGAGGCUGAUGUUCGUAAUUCGGCUCCAAUUGAUUCUGCCACUAAGCAUUAUGUGCAUGUCAUCCAUUAAUGUCCUCAUUGCUAAUUUUUGAUAGAAUUAUGUGCAUGUCAUCCAUUAGUAGAAUCUCUAGCCUCGUAAACUUACUACGGAUACCGUUUUAUGUAUGACAUUAGACCAUAGUGUUUCCCUAAUGUACUUGAGAGCAUACGGUUUUGUUGGAAUGUGCAGCAAAGCACUUUAGAGUGUACAUUUAAUUGAAUACUAAUUGCAUUUCAAAAAAACUUGAAUACUAAUUCAGAUGUUAUUUCUUCUAGCAGAUAACCUAAUAGUGGAUGGCAAUGCUCCGGAGGAAGAAAUCCUUUCAGUGCUUGAUGUUCCUCCAGGAAAGAUGGGACGUGUUAUCGGGAGAAGAGGAGCUUCCAUUUUGUCAAUAAAGGAAUCUUGCAAGUACCAUUCUAUCUCUAUCUCUGCAUGUUUCGGUAGUUUGUGCUCCAUUUUUCUCUCCAUCUCCCCCCACUUAUUAUUACUUCAAUGGUACAAUUUUACAGUGCGGAAAUUCUCAUUGGAGGUGAUAAGGGCCCACCCGAUAAGGUCAGUCCAUUGCAUUUAUAUAACAGUUUCAAAGUAGGCGUAAAAUUAAUCCAAUUUUUUUUUUUUAAAUGAUUUAAUCAUCAAAGCAAAAAACAACUGGAAUUUGGAAAAGUUUCAAAUUCUUUUGUAAAUUUUAUUUGGUUUUGAUGUAGGUGUUCAUCAUAGGACCAGUGAAGCAAGUGAGGAAAGCAGAAGCCAUGUUAAGGGGGAAGAUGAUGGACGUGUACUACUAGAAACAUAUCAUGUUGUCGUCUUCGCCCCUUUCUUUAAAAAUAAAUAAAUAAAAGAAUUCUAAGAAAUUGGGCAUCUUUUCUUUUUCUUCUUUCCGUGCUCUUUUUCUUUUCUUUCGGUACAGAACAGAACCCGUCAUCUAUUCAAAUUGUUCUGUUUAUGAAACGACAUCCUGUUGUGCAAAUAAAUUAUAUAAUUGUCAAACAAAAGGACAAAGUAAAAAAAAAAAAAAAAAAAUCUGUCGUGGCUGAGACAUUGGCAAAAUUAAACGUUUAAUAUACAAAUAAAAUCAUAGUCAUCUAUUGAUAUCUAGAAUAAUUUUUUUGGACCGACUAUGUUAAUUGCCACCACAUUGUUCAAAAGACUGGAGGAUUAAUUUAAUCACGAAGCUGUUUGCAAUCCACUGGAAUUUAUAAAUAAAAAGUGUCGCAAUCAUCUUCACUCACGAUCAAUACAAUCCUCAAUACCACAAUAUCCAUUGACGGAUGUAUGAACAAACUAAGCACACCAAAAGAAAGGACUUUCUCUUCAAUAUUUUGGCCGAGUAGGCAAAAGAAUAUGUAGACGGAAAAAAUGGCAGAAAUAACAAAAUUACUUUUGGAAACCACCGUAUUGGUAUUGUUGGCCGCCGCCACCACUGAGACUUGAGAAGAUGUCAUCGCCUCCCAUUCCCGGCGAUGAUGGGAACCCAGAUUUUCCAAGACCAGUCCCGGAACCCAUUGCUCUACCCAUGUAAUACGAAGUUGGGGGCCCUUUCUCCCUUUCAUCUGAUCCGUCAGUCAAUCCACCCACAAUCCCUACAUCCGCCAGAUUUACCUUCUUGGCUGCAAGUACAUGAAGUGAAGAGGGGAUUACAACAGCAGCCUAAACAUGUGAUUCGAAAUGUCAACAUACAUAGUCUCUGCUCAAACAAUUAUAUAGGCAUACAUUACCCGGACAAUUUUUCUAAAUCUCAACUCACACCUUGAACAUUAAGCAAAAUUUACUUUCAUGUACACACAUAUAAAUUGUGCUCAUGAAAGGCAAAAUGCUAGUUGAAAUGGUUGAACUUACGAGCAGAUAUAUUAAGAUCAAUCAGUCCACGGCUAAGUGAGUCGGCCCAAAUGCCAGAUUUCACCUGGAAAUCCUUCUUGGGUGGACCAUUCAGGUCUGCUGAAGAUUUUUUACCCAAAUUAGUGUCGCUGCCAUCAUUGACAGAACUUUGGGAAGGUUCUGAAGAUGUUGAAUCAGACUGAGAGGUGAAGGCCCCAAAAAUAUCAGAUUCACCAAAAUUGUGAAGUGGAACAGUGGCAAAGGGAUCAACAAUGUUGGUGUUUGUUGGGGCAGCAUUUGUAGACUUGGUUUCUGGCUGCGUAACUGGAUCAGGGGCGGAAAAAAGAUCUACUGUUGAAGAAGCCAAUGGAGAAAGGGUUGGUUGAGAAGCAAAUAGAUCAACACCAUUCUGUAUAAUUAGUUAGAAAAGAAGAUUGUUAGCACUGAACUUUAAACCCUGUAUGAGGAACAAAAGUAAUAUUAAAAUAAAACUUAAAAAUGGAAACUCCUAAAUUCAGUUGCUUGUUAGAAUUCCAAAAUCACAACUAAAAUAUUUCUACAUGUUCGAAGGUUGCAUAAAUUAAACUCUGCCCCCUGUAAUCAGGGGUACGCUUUACUCAUACCCCUCUUUGUUAUUGUUUGGCAUUUAAUGACAAACGUCACAACCAAAAUCGAUGACUGGCUAAGCAACAAGCACACUGAAAAAGCUACCUCAAUUGUGAAUGGGUGUACAUGAGCUAUGUGCCAAAAUUGAGUCGUAACUGCGUCUGACCUGAGUUUGAGAACUUGCUCCAUUUGCUGUCUGGGGUGGUGCUGAUACAAAAGUUGAGUCUGCAAAUGCUCCAGUUUCUGCCUGGGGUGGUGCUGACACAAAAGUUGCAUCAGCAAAUAGAUCAACCUCUGAUGAACUGCUGUUAAUCCCAGGCUUUUCUGCAGGAACAGAUGUUGGAGCAUCUAUGAAGUCAUCCAUCAAACUUUGUCCAAACAGAUCCACUUGGUUUGAGCUUGCAACAGCAGCCUCUGUUGAAAUAAUAUAGGGCAAAAUGAAAUGUUCAACUAUAUCCCAGGAAUCAUACAUAUUAUUUAAAAAACCAAGAACAGUAAUUCAAUAAUCAAUGCACUAAAAGAUUACCCCAUUAAACGUCAUUGCAUAGGAUAGAAGAAAAAGCAGGAAAAAAUUACAUCAAAAAAUAAUGUGUUGAAUGUAACUAGUGAUAUUCAUAUAAACGCAUAUGUUUGAACAACUACCAAAGAAAUGAACUAAAUAUAUAGUACAUCCUAUAGCUCAUGCAAAUAUUCAAAAGAUCAUUAUGUUUAACAAAUCAAACAAUCUCGAAAAGCAUCCUCAAUGCCUUCACGACAUCACUUGUGAUAAAAAAUCAAAGAGCCAAAUGGCAUCAAAUUGAUUGUAGCUACGAGACACAUAGUAGAUGGUAAACAUGUAGCAACAUUUGCCAAUGUCUGCCUUGCAAAACUUCCUUUUAACUAACACUAAAUUAACAACUGCACCAGAGUUCGUAUACUUACUAGCAGCAGAAGUCCCUCGGGGAUCAAAAUCAUCAUCAUCGUCAUCAGGAACAUUUGCGCUUUGAGUAUGAACUGAACUGUACUUCUCAGAGUCAUUUGAUUUAUUAGAUGACUUUGACACACUGGAUGAUAUAUUAUCCUGAUCCUUCCUGCAAGAAAAACAUUCGGAAGUUAAUAAAAACAAAAUCACAAAGCAACAUAUAUGUGCUACAGUCUCUCUGUAUACAUCUGUGCAAGGUGUGUGUGCGUGAGAGAGAGAGAGAGAGAGAGAGAGAGAGAGCUGCAGUCAAAAUUGGUCAUUUGUAAUAAAAAUCAUAAUUAUUCCCAAAUCUUUCCCUCUAGUUCUGAAUCUCAGAAGAGCCUUAUCCAGUGUUGGUCAACAUUUCUCAGCAUAUAGGCACAAUUGUUUGACCUAUCAUGAACAGUAAUGAUUAAGUACCUGCUGCCAUAGCGUGCUGAGGCCUUCUUUGAAGAGCUCUCUCGACGUGACCUGCUAGAGCUGUCCUUCUCAAUCUUGUCUUCUUCAUGUCGAUCCCUGUCUCUAUAGCUAUCUUUGAACCUAUCACCAGCUCCAGUACCACUUAGACCUCCAUAGCGUUCGCUACUCUGAUAGCUGCUACUACUAAAUGAGGCUGAAGUUGCAGAACCUGACUUAUAUGUUAUCCCAGUAGAUGAAAGUCCAAAGUACCUAAAGUUGGCAAUGUGCUAAAAGUUUAUAAGAUGAAAACUAAUCAAAAGAUUUAGAGAAGUUCAAGUAAACUUGAAAAUUUAGUCCCCAAAAAAUAAACUUACUUGUCACGAUUCGCAGCAGCUUUAUUUCUAACUUCUUGUAUUUUAUCUUUGUUAUUUAAAAGAGCCACAAUGGUUUCCGCCUUCUUCCUCACAUUUAUUCCCAAAUCCUUCCCAUUUGGCUCAACAUAUUCAAAACUUGUGAGAGCCUUCACCACCAAAAAAACCAAAGGAUAAAGAAGUUUGAGUACACUCAACCGUAUUCUUAACUUCAUAUCUGCCAAAAAAAUUCAGGAUAAUAGAAAUAGUCCUUACUGAGAUUUGGAAAGUAUGUUCUAUAAUGUCAUCCACAGCUCGUUCAGAUCCAUGUGACACCAAAUAUUCUAUAACAGCCAAUGCCUGAUACAGAAAUGAUAAUGUUGAGGGCAUAAAUACGCACAUGAUUCUAUGAAGUUAUAAUACACUAGAAUCCUCUUUAAGCACAAUAUUUGAACAAUAUUAACUGAAUUCUUACCUUAUAGACAUAACGCCAAUCUUUUCCUGUCUCAGUCAAUCUUGUCCACAAAACAUUCAUAACCAUCUGACAUUCCGAACUGAAAGAUAACAAAAGUCAGCAAAUGCGGGUAAGUACAGCAAGCCAAGUUCUUUCUGAUUCUGAACUUUACUGCAGGGAGGAUUAAACAAGGAAAAAAACAGAUAAAUGGAGUUGAAAAUUACAAUUUUUUUGUGGCCUGUGCGAUCUCUGCCAAUGCAGAUCCAUGAGGACCCCAAGGUUCAUUAUCCGUUGCAUCCAAUACCUGUAACAUAUCAGUAAUGAAACAAAUUUGCGUGAGCUAAAAUUAAAAAUCACAAAUUGAGAAAUAGCUGAUAUUCAUAUCAUCCACAGUUUACCACUAGAAGACGAGAAAAAACAAAACGUAUCAGCUACUUAAGCUAAAAUACAAAUUUGAUGCAUGGAUUUCUUAAUUGGAGAAGACUUUUUCCACCAACCUCUCAAAGCUAAAAGAUCAAAACUAAGUCCAGAAUAUCAUUAUUUCUGUCUAAAUGUAUCUUAAAAGAUAGAAUUUAAGCUUGCAAAACGCACAAUGGUACAACAAUCAUUGAACACAAACAGAAAGGGCACUAUUCGCACCAUGAAUACAAUAAUUCGAGUUCAGAUCUAUAAUUUUAAUCACAAAAUAAAAAUUCUAAUGAAAAAUGAAAAAUUCGAAGAAAUUAAACGUAACCGAAGUUAAUUAAACUCUAUUUGUUGCUUUACCUUCUGUUCCAUCUCCGGAACCUUCAAGACCUUCAGAUUCACCUCCCUCUUUCUGCACAUUAAGACAAGGAAAUGGAAUUAACAGCUGAUAAAAAUGAAUAAAUUGCGUAAAUCGAAAAUGCCAAGGUCGGAAGCUGACAUUUCUCGGACCGUUUGAUCGAAGACCUUCAUGAAAUCCAUGACAAAUCUGCAGAAUCUGAAAUAUUCAAAAAAAUAUUCGGAAAUUCGUGAUCAGUUUGGAACAGACAAAUAUUGCGAUGCAUCCGAUGGAACCGCAAAAUUUGAAGUCAAUGUAUGAAAUUUUACAAGAUUAUAAUGGAAGAAGAAGCACCUUUGAGUAGAAACCAGAAAGGAAAGGAUUGCAGAUCUUGGCGUGCGUCGCAGUGGAUAGAGAGAGAGAGAGAGAGAGAGAGAGAGAGAGAGAGAGAGAGACGUAAUCAGGUGGUCUCGUCUGUGGUUUUAAAUCUCAUAUACUGUCCGUCAUAUUUUGCAGUUACAAAGAAAUUGAAGGUUAAACCGGUAAAGCCAGCGCGGCUCGCAAUCAUAUGCUGCCAAAUAAAAAUUAUGGGCUUUUUUUUGUUCACCCAAAAAUAAUAAUAAUUUGUUACUUGCCAAAUAAAAAUUAGUCGUUUUUGUUACUUAAAUUUGAUUUGAUUUGAUUUGAUUUUUUUUUUGAGUAAUGCUAUUUAGACACACAAUAUUGACCACCUUAUGUGGCAACUGAUGUGUCAUGCUAGGGUAAUUAAUGAAAAAAAUCAGGUACAAUCUAAAACAUCAUUAGUGGCAAAAGCCUUUCUUUUGAUUGGGGACGUGACAGCUUUUAUUUAUUUAUGGGGGUUAAAAUUCAGCGCCCACUAAAGUUGUGGAUAUCAUUUGUUAGAGUGACGUUCCCGCUUAAAACUACCCCGCCCACAAACAAUCUACGCACAAUAAGCUGACUCAGAAGCUCACAUUCCUGUUAUUCCUCUAAAAGAUUUUAUUGUCAAUAACUAAAUGAUUACUUUUGCCAGAUCAUUACGAGAAAAAGGCAUUAUCCUACACACCACAACCUAAAGGAUAGAAAAAAAAAAGGAGCUUCAUGUACAUCAAUAUAAUAAAUUUGGGUACAAGUUUGUAUACACUUUUCAAGUUAAAGGGGAACAAAACUCAGUCAAUGCGUGGUCANNNNNNNNNNNNNNNNNNNNNNNNNNNNNNNNNNNNNNNNNNNNNNNNNNNNNNNNNNNNNNNNNNNNNNNNNNNNNNNNNNNNNNNNNNNNNNNNNNNNUUGAUUUGUAUGUCAUAUCAGUGUCGCUCUAGACUUCAAUCUUGACAGGUACUAAUAAAAAUAUCGUCUAUUCAGGCUACCCAACGGAAUAAUGUCGUGUAGUUACACAAGAAACUUCGUGGUAUUUGUCCUAACUCUCAUUGAUCUGAAUUGACUGUUCUGAUGCUAACGCUACUUAGACACGCAAUACUUACCACUCUUAUGUGGCCACUGAUACACACGCCAUGUCAAUGAAUAAAUGUUGUCAUGACAAUUAGAAACUAAUUGGAAACACUCAAGCAUUCCUAGUGAGUGGCCUCAUGACAGCAUUCACUUAAUUGACCUGGCAUGACACAUCAGUUGCCACAUAAAGUGGUCAGUUAAGGUGGUCAAUGUUAUGUGUCCAAAUAGCAUUUUUGGUUUCAUUAACAAAUUUUAUUGACACUCAGAAAUUAUGAAUGUACACUAGAAGCUUCUUAACUUUGGACCCGAAGUUUUUGAUUUUAAACUACCUUGUUACAAUUGGUUUCUCAAUCUAGCAAGUUUUCCUUAUUUCAAAUAGGACUUAGGUGAGGUUAUAAAAUCCAGCUCAAUUGUGGGCAUUUAAAAUCACACAAGGAAGUUGAUAGUGAGAACCAAACGAGGUAUAAUAAGUUUGAGAAAGGGUGUAUAAAGGUUUUAUUCAAUUGUAUACAUGCUCGAUUUUGAGGUUAAAAGCGAAGAUUCUUUGACAAUAUAAAUAAAAUUUUGCUGAAUCACGUAAAUUUUUAGUUCAAAAACUCUGUAAGGAUGUAAAUAAAAUUUUGUCGAACCACGUUAAUUCUUGGUGUGUUGUUUUUUUGGUUUUUUUCGUAUUUCGUAUUGGGCUUUAAGGGUGGCUCACGGUGUUUUUUGCCCUUUUCCGAAAUUAGGGUUACGGACAAACUCAUGAAAUUUGUUAAUUGGAUCUGCUAAUGGGCCCAAUAAGCCCAACCCUAGAAAUAUAUGGGGCCUGGGUUUUCUUAAGGCCGCUCGGCCUUCGCGUGCUGGUUCAUCAACUCCAUUUCCUAAUUAACUGUCUGGCUCAUUUCUUCAUACAACGAACAAAUCCCAUCAUCGUAGUCCCGCUGAUUAUUCGUCUGUCAUAGUAAAUUACCUCACAGCCUGUGAUAUAAGUCUCCCUCUUUUGUCUGGUUAAGUUAUUUCUGGUACCUAAAAAAAACUACCAUUCCUGGUCUGCUUUUACUCUUUAACCAGUCCAACCUCCGUGACCGAUCACCCUGCAAAACUCUGAACGCGGUUUUCAAUAUUGUCAGUCCGUUUUUUUUUUUCUUUUUUCAAAAUUAUUUAAAUUAUAUAGCUUCAUUUAUGUUGACCGUAGCUUUGUUCAAUCAGAUGGGUCAAAGUCACUGAUCAACUUGUUUGAUUUGGUUGCAGGAUCUUAAAAGAUAUUGUUUUGCUUGUCUGGAAAACAAAUCAGAGCAAAAAUGUUUAAGCGAGUAUUUGGGAAAGCAAAGCAGGAAGCCAAUGCCCUGCCAACUAUACACAAAUUAAACGAUGUAUGAUUUUGGGUUUGUAGGUGUUGUCAGGGUUGUGCUGGAAUUUUUCGCAAAUUUUACGAGUCUGAAUCUUGUGUUGAGAUUAUAGUUAUAUGGGUUUUUGUUUUUCUGCUAAAAGUAUUGUUUUUUGGGAUUGUGCAGACACUUGAGAUGUUAGAGAAAAAGGAGAAAGUUCUUGUAAAGAAGGCAGCUGCGGAGGUUGAGAAGGCUAAGCAAUUUACUCAAGCACGAAACCGAACUGGUAAGACCCCCUACAGGCUACAUGUCGUUUAUUUAGUUUUUUUUCUGUUCCUUUUCUCUUUUUGGUGAAAUUAUAUCAUAUGAAUAUAUGUUUUGUAUAGGAUCCGGAAAGAACUAUUUUUUUUCUUUCUUUUUGAUUUUGUUGGGUUUUUAAGAAUGAUGCUAGGCUGUUGCAUGGUUUGCCAUUUGUGGUGGAAGGACAUGUAAAACACUAGAGAAAACAAUGGAGUUAUUAAUUAACUGUUUAAAUCUGAACCCGUAAGCAAGUAAAUUAUGUAGGUUUUGAAAGCAAACCGUAUUUUUUUCGCAAUUAGUAUCAAAUUGUAUAUCUUAUUCUUGUUUUUUAUCCAGCGGCAAUAAAAUGUUUAAAGAGGAAAAGGCUUUACGAACAACAAAUUGAGCAGCUUGGAAAUUUCCAAUUGCGCAUUCAUGAUCAGGUAGGUACUGUUGUAAAUUUUAGUGAAGUUUCAUUUGUUGAGAGUUUAUCAUGAAGACAUAUUUUGAAUUGGGGUUUCAGAUGAUAAUGCUGGAAGGUGCAAACGCUACAACGGAAACUGUUGAUGCAUUGAGAAGUGGAACAUCUGUGAUGAAGGCCAUGAACAAGGCCACGUAAGUUGCAUUUAAACUGCAUUCCGUAGAAUUUAUAGAUUCCAUGGCCAUAAUUGCCAUAACAAUGAAAGAAAUUUAAAUUCAAAUGAACUAUAGCAUCCUCUGCAAAGUCAGUCUUAAGUUACUCUCAAAGCACUUUGGAUGAUCUUUCAAAGGAAGCAUUCCAUAUCCUUCUGUUCUGAAUUGUACAUCUCAACUUUGGCCUUUUUUUAACAGGAAAAUUGAUGAUUUGGAGAAAACAAUGGAUGAGAUCAAUGACCAAACUGAAAGCAUGAAGCAGAUUCAGGAGGCAUUAUCAGCACCUAUUGGUGCAGCAGCUGAUUUUGAUGAAGUAUGAUCUUUGCAAGUUCUUAGUUCAUGCAUGCAAUGGUUUAUUUUCAAUAUAUUAGGUUCAAAUUAUGCAACUUUGUUUCUGCAGGAUGAAUUGGAAGCAGAGCUUGAAGAACUGGAAGGAGCUGAAUUGGAGGAGGAGCUUUUCCAGCCAGCCACAACUGCUCCCGCAGCUACAGUACACGUAAAUGCCCCGGUAGGCAGGCAACCAACCCAACCAGCUCCUCAGAGGAACAACCGUGAUGAGGAUGAGCUUGCUGCAUUACAGGCAGAGAUGGCACUUUAAGAGGUUACUUAUAUGUAUCAGGUUGGUAAUUUAUCUUGACAAUGGACUCCUCACUCAAGCGGGGUGAUGCACAUAAUAAGAUUUAAAUUGUCGUAGAACUUAAAUAAGAAUUCAGCUUCUGUUGGAUUAAGAUUUAAAUUGUCAUUUGAAUCAAAGUUAUGUUUCUCAAAGCAUUUAUGUUACUUCAUAUGAUCUGAUGGGUUUUGUUGCUGUGUUUGCAGUUGUUAACAUAUAGAAGGAGAAGAUUAAUAAAACUUGAAUUAUGGAGGAUGAUGCGAAUCUCUCGGACUCUCCAGACUGACUUGUGACUUUUAAUACUGCAUUUGAUGGUCUGUAUGUAUACAAAAUAAUAAGUUGGUAAAACUGUUUUUACUACUUUGUAAUAUAAUGGGUCAAAUAUUAGGCUUCUUUGUACAACUAAUACUGGGAACUUAUAGUCAUUUUUUUUUAUUUUAUCACUAUCGAAAUCUUAUUAUGAUUUUACAAAGUUAAACAUAAACUCUAUGCUUGAUCACAAUUUUAGAAUCGUUAAGCUAUGAUUUCGAGCUAAUCGAUGACUUGCAAAAACGGCUAUAGCUCACAGAAUGAUUCUAAGAAAAUCUUAACACACGCAUCGCAUCAAUUACAUGAGGGCAAUGGAAAUAUAUCAUUACUCUCCAUACAUAACAUCGAUCCAUUGACCGAGCAACGUGCAUGAAAAAUAUUCAAAACGACGCACCAUAAUUUGAAGGAUUCAAUGUCAAAGAGAAGAAUGAACAAAACAUAAAAGCAUGUAUAAGAUGGGUGUGAACCAUGCUUGCAAUUUGACAAAGAUUCUCUACUUAAAUAUAAACAGAACAAACCGUGAAAGUGGGGGGGGGGGACCAUAAGUGCAUCAUCAUAUGAACACAAGAAAAACAAGAACCUGUAUGUUUUUGCUCUGGUGUUUCAAUGAGUUUCAUAAUUUUAAUUUUAACUUUUAGACAGGCAACAAAGUUGAGGUUAUCUUUUUCUCUGACUUGGAAUAACUCUGUCUUCCAUAAAGAAAAGUCUGAAAGGGAUGCCCCAUCUUAAGUUCUUCACUUGCUGAUGAUUGUAAGGCAUAAAAUAGGAUUAUGGGGUGUGACUUCUUAAUCACAUCAGACUAAUUGCAAGAUUCUUCACUUGGUUUGUUUUUUUUUUUUCCUUUCUUUUUCCUUAUUGAUUUCUCUUAACAGCUAAAUUCCAUGAAUUUGGACUUUCUGAAAUAGCCAAUGGAGAAGAGGGACCUCUAUUGUGAAAACAAGGGGCUCUUACACAUUGUCUUUUCUGAUUUCUGAUAUGGGAUUUAUGCUUUCUUCUUAAGUUCAUUUGAAGAAGCAAAUGACCCACUAGUAUAGUGGUUUAGAGCAAUUGUUCCUUAAGAAAAAUUCUAGGUUCGAGUCCUAGCAUCCAUGUAGUGUGUGUGAGUUUAGUAUGUUAUCGCCCCUCUCAAUAAAAAAUGUCCUCAAAAAAGUUCAUUUGGAGAAGGAAUAUUCAACCACACAUAAAAUGCCACCAAGAAGGAGAUAAAGAACAUUCAUUAUGAUGCAACCUUUGAAGUUCAAUGUGAAAGCAUAAGAUAAGAGACAGAGAGAGAUCAAAACGUGAACCCCAUCUGUUUUAAACCUUUCUGUAAAUGCAAUAUAUCCCAUAAUUAAGAAAACUUCAAAACCAGAUUCCCAGCCCUGGAUAGCUUCGAUGAUUUUCAAACAAUCCCUAAUUGGGGCAAUUCUCGUAGACGGAGCAUAUGCAAUGUUUGGUAGCUUAUGGCAAGUGAUCUAAUCUCAUAUUUUAAGAUGAUGACUAAGACUAACAAUGUUUUAUUUAAAUUGGGUUUCCAAAAUAAACAAUAAUGAUUAAGUAAUGCUUAAGAACUUAAUAAUGGCAGUGAUUAGUGAGGCUUAAUUAUAAUCUUAAAGUCUUCCCUUCACCAAUAAAUUGUACGGGAAAUUAAAAAAUAAUUAUGUCCUCUCGAUUCGUGAAUGGACAGGGUACUUGACCGUACAAUGAACAAUGAAAACGAUCCAUGGAUAAGUUUAAUGUUCUAGUUAUGAAUCACAGCUCUCAAACAGUGACACUUGACCUUAGGCACACACUGCAUGAAUAAUUUAAACCAUAUGGAGUCGAAACAUUCAGAACGCGUUUUUCCAAAAAAUAAUGGCUUCUCAAUACACAUAAAAAGGGAGAAAAUUUUUGUAAGUUUCUAUAGGGUAAUGUAUGCAAAUGUGUAUUCACAUUGCUGCAUGAGAUGAAAAUAUCCAAGCGAUAAUGGAGAGGGGGAUUGAAACACAAGACCUCAACUGCUUCUUCAAACAUAACCUUUGAUUUUACCACUUCCAAGUCUUGAAGUUGCAGAGAUGAUGUAGGUUAUGACUGAGUAAAAUAUCAAAAGCAGGGCAGAGUAUCUUUUAUGGUUAUUUUUUGAGAGGGACAUUUCGGAUCAUGAUCAACUUUGAACUGGCCACACCCCCACACAACUUUCAUGACCCCUGGCAUAUAAAGAAACAGGCAAACAUGCUGAGGCCAUCCAAACCCCCCAACACUGAUUCUUUGUGCCAUUGUACCUUAAAGACAGAGUAAAUUAAUUAACCAAAUUUCUGAGAACCCACAAUGGGAAUGCCUGUGAAAGUUGAAAGCUUUAUACACAGACAAACAAAACAAACAGAGACAAAGAGGAAGGGUUCCAUACAUGUUCAUCUACUAGUCAUUACUUAAAAUUUUGAUUUACAUCACAUUUUCUCCUCCUCUAUGAACAGAAGCAGAGGUCCAACUGAGACUGAAUAUGACUAGAAUAAAUGAAAAAGAAAUUAAAACAAAGGGGAACCAAAAAAGAACAUCCUUUUUUCUAGCUAAUAUUUACUUCCCCCAUUUCCUUCGCCAGUUCUAAGCAUUUGCUUUUGUUUCUUUUCCCCAUGCUUUUUGGUUUUCACAGAUGGUUGAGAACCCUUUGACUCAGUCCUUGUUUUGUGCCUCAAUAUGAGCUUGAAAAUAAAUCACCAAAAUUUGUACAGCUAGCUGGGCCAAAUUCACUGGUUUUUUCUCCAAAGCACAUGCCAUAAUUCACAUCAUAAGGCAGACCGAAAUCUGUAAACAACCCAGAAUCAUCAAGGGAACCAUUUCCAGGUAGUGAGGCACACUUGUCAACAGCAGCUAUUGAAGAAGAGUCUGAAAUGUUUGAGCCAUCCUGAGAUAAUGAAACAGUAGUGUAACUUUUCUUUGAACUUGCACCAAAAUCUGAAAAAGCCAUGACCUUGGAGCUGUAUAAUUGAUCUGGUGAGUUUAAAGUCCAGGUUUGGUUAUAGGCAUUCAGUCCAGAAUUAACAUCAGUUAACAUGUGCAAUGUGGGUGGAAUUUGGGUUUGGAAUGUUGAAAAGGCAGAGUCUUGGGGUUCAGCUUUUGGGACACAAGGCAGGGCCAGUGAGGCUGCAGAGCCAGGAAGAGUGGCAUUGUUAGUGGGCUCUUUGCUGUUCUUUGUUGUGAGGUUUUGUUUUCCCCCAAAUAGCUUCUUCUUUAAUUUGGUGUUCCAAUAGUUCUUCACAUCAUUAUCUGUUCUUCCAGACAUCUGAGAAGCUAUCACUGACCAUCUGAAAAAAAGUGGGGAAAAAUGUUAGAAAUUAUUAAUAGUGUUGCAGAUAUAAAAACCAUGAAAAAAUUUAGUAUAAAGAAUGAUAAAUGGACUUGCCGGCUCCCCAUUUGGUUGUAGAGGCUACAUAUAAUGCUGUCUUCCUCUUCAGUGAAGCAUCCAUGUUUGAUGUCUGGCCUCAGAUAAUUGAGCCAACGUAAACGGCAACUCUUCCCACAUCUCCUAAGACCUGAAAAAAAAAAGGAAAAAUACAAUUGUAAGAAGAAGAAAAAAAGUUCAACCUUUUCUCAUCCAGAAAAAUUCUGAGAGUCAAACUGAUGAAUGGGUUUAGUAUGGACGAUUCAUUGAACAAAUUGGCAAAAUAAAAAAAGAAGAACCCUUUUGUUCUUUUUUUCAUAAUUUUCAUUCUGUGAGGUCAAAAGAUAGAACUAAGCAUCACACAGAGACAGAGUGUGUGUGUGUGUGUGUGUGUUUGUGUGUGUGUGUGUGUGAGAGAGAGAGAGAGAGAGAGAGAGAGAAAGAGAGAUACCAGCUUUUUUGGGCAAAAGGAUCCAAUUUCCACCAGUUCCAUGAGUCUCAAGGUAGCUCUUGAGAGUUGCGUCUUCAUCAGGUGACCAUGGACCUCUCUUCACAUUAUCUUUGUCACAACACGGAGUGCGUCCCAUGGCUAAUUACUCACUUCCACACACACACCACCAAAAAACUAAUUUCAGAGAGGGAGAGAGAAAGACUUAGAACCAGAGACAGAGACAGAGACAGAAAGAAAGUUCAGACACGCUGAUGCUCCAAAAUAAGCAAAUGCAGGAGCUUUUGGUGGAGAGCUUAUAAAGAUGGUGGCACCUUAAAAUAAAAAACAAAUAGAGUAAAUGAAAAAAGGCUUGACCUUGUACUUGUACGACCUCCCCAUUUCUCAACUUUAAUUAUAAUUUCUUUUUAUCUGGUACUUGUUCCUUGCAUUCCAAGACAAAGACCCAGUCAACAUUCACACAAAAACUGUAUUGACUUUAUUUUUAUUUUUAUUUUAACUUUUAAUAUCGGGUAGGGUAAUAUCAUGAUUCAUGAAGAUGAAUGAACCGUUCAAAACUGACGGUCCAAAAUGUCCCUUAGUCGAAUUUUACUGCUUUAAUUAGUUGUGUUCUUCUAGCUCUGGUCAGAAGAUAUGGACUUAGCCACCACACAGGCACAGGGGAACAAAACCCUACUCUUGCCUUGAUCCACAUCCACUGACAAGUGAUUAGCGGUAAAUAAAUAUUUGAUUAAAUAGUAUCAUAUGAGAAAAUUGUGUCCAAUUAGCAAUAGUAAAUCGAAAAUUGGAACUCAUACACAGACAGUUCUAAUGGUGAAUGCUUCAAAUGAACUUUUCAAUGUGAGCUUGUACUAUUUUUGACAUUUUACUAUUCAAAGUAACCCAUCAAGGCGAUGAGCAUUGAUGUCUUGGUCACAGCCAAAAGGGUUUUAAAAUAUCAUAAAAAUUAAUUAUUUAAUUUCAAGUUGGUGUGGCUGCUUCUCCAUUGUUUUCCUAUUGACUUCUUGGUAUUUUGUUGUUUUCUCUGCUUCCAGUCUAAAGAUUCCAUGUCACGGGCUCAAGUCGUUUUUAAUGUUUAUAUAUAUAUAUAUAUAUAUAUAUUGGUAAAUACCAUGAGAUGUUCGGGCCAGUUUGUGUCUACCUCAAUUAAUUUCCACUCGCGAAACUGAGCCUGUCACUGACCACCGAGUGUUGCAACCUUCGGGACUCAAUCUGAAAUACAAAUCCAAUAAAACCCCAGAACCUUAUCCAAAUGACGGACAAACCACUGGGCACUUGCUAAACCAGUAACUCGACAUCACCGUGUUUUUUUUCCUUUUAACCCCACCACGACAUCAUUUUGGUGCACAUGGGUUAAUUUAAUUGGUUUACUUAAAGCAAUAUUUCAUACAUUCACAGCCCAAGUCUCCUUAGGGCCUUAUCAAUGGACAGAACAAGGUGAAACUGACCAAUUUCUUUCAUUCAUUGGGUUCACUUGGGCUGGGCUCAUGUGUGAGGGUACCACAAAGGAAAAACGUACAGAAUUUGAGGAGAAGGCAGCUCUACAUAUCUUUGAUUUUUCCUGCGGCUUCAUAUAUAACCGAUGAGAUCCCUUGCUACUCCCGUCCAGACACUCCCGUCAAAACAUUAUUAAUACAGCGUAAGUAUUUAGCAAACAAAUGAUAUUUCUUAACUGACGUCCUAGAUUUGAUUUCCUCUUUUUCAAUAUUGUAUGUAUAAAAAAUAAAAUAAAAAUUAUCCGUCUUAAUAUGUGAAUAAACUAAUUAGAUGUAUAUAUAUUGAAAAUUUGCAAUGAAGGGCCUUUGCAUAAUCAUUUGAGGACAUUAAAAGAUUGGAACAAUAUGAUUGAGAAUUUGAGCCUACGUUACUCCUACUCCUAUACUAGUGAUAAAUCGUAUAUCGACUAAAUAAAAUAUUUUAUAUGCCCAACUUCCAUUAAUUUACCCUUAUCAUUUUGCUGGAUGCACAUACAAAAUCCAAUAUGCUAAAUUAUUUUUCUAAUAACUUAGAAAACAAACAAAAUAGCUAAUCAUGACAUAUUUAUUUUACACUACCUAACUCUUUCUAUAAGAUAAAAACAAGAUUUGGAUAAGAGCCCAACUUGUCACAUCAUUUUUGUGCAACCACCACAUUUUCAAUCCAAAAUAUAUAAAUAUUAUAUGGUCCUCCCCAUAGCAAACAACAACGUAACACCCAACGAAUAGAUGGCACAAAGGAGGGAGGAAAUAGUGCCAAAUAUUGGCAUAUAAUUGUCAAUCAACUUAGCACGAUAGCGACAAUGUUUUGUCCAUCGGAAAAAAAUUACUUGGGUCCCUUCAAAACGUUCGUUUGUCCCUUCAUUACCAAGUCAAUGUCUCGCAAUCUAUUUAAGCUUGCAUUGCAUGGCUAUACACAUUUUGGAGUAUAAUAAAUAUUUUCUUGUCGGGAGAUAAAUAAAGAUUUAUCUGAUUGACUUUUAUUAUAAUAUAUGGUUCAAAUUCAGUCUGAUAAAUUAAUAACGCAAGUCUGAUAAGAAAACAUUACCCUCUAAAAUAAUAAGUUCUUGCAAGUAGGUAUAAAUCUUUAGACAACCGAUGGAAAGUUAGGUAUGUACUAAUAUUAUGGCACUCAUGAAGAACUUCUACUCCAUAAGAUAUUUUGGAAUUGGUUCAAGUCCUUGUCCUGGGUUUUGGAGAUGAAAUUACAUGUAACCAAACAGAGCCCAAUAACACACUCUCCAAGGGAUUUUGUGAUGGAAGCUUUUGUUUUUGAUUUGAUGGUAAUGUAUAUAAUAUAUAUAAGAGUAAGACCCACCAGCUCAAACAGUUUUGAUGAGCACGCCACUACAGGAUCCCUCCCACUCAAUAAGUAAAGUUGCCAUGCCACUGCAAAAAUCAACGAAACCCUUGGAACCACCGUCCACUUUGUCUGCCUUUUUCAUUCUUUUGAAUCAUUCAGUUCCCUUUUUCUUUUGUUUUAUUUAAUCCUUCUAUUAAACCCAAUCUCAAAGGAGUGGUCUUUUUUAUUUAUACACAUAAUUAUACAACCAAGAUGUUAUAAGAAUUUAAAUUAGAAAAAGAAAAACUUCAUUGUAACGAAAUAAUACUGUUUUAUUAUUCUGACCAAUAAUACGACACGUGAAAAAGUUAUGUCAAGUGAACAAAAAAUGAUAUUCUCGUUACAUGAGAGUUUAUCUCCUAAAUCUGAGACCUCUAAUCUACAUGCCAAUGUACUUUUCUUACUUUCAAUGAGAUAUAUUAAUCAUAAACAGAACUAAUGAUUUUGAUUGCUACAUAAAACAAUUAUUUACACGGAUGUGCUUCUCUAAACCAUCACUUUCAAACUUAAUGGAUUAUAUAGACAUUAGUUCUUGUAUCUUUGUAUGAUUAAGAUUAGAUUAAGUAGGAACAAGUGUGGCCGUUGAAUAAGAUACGUGAAUUAAGAGGUAAAUUUAUUCAAAUCUGCAAUCUAAAAUAAAUUGACAACGUGCGUAAAUCUUUGUAUGGUUUAUACUCUAGUACAUUUUGUGAGAGAAAUGCAAAUAAAUAACACUACAAAUGAUCAUCAUCACAAGAGAUCAUGACGAGAGAUUAAUUUGAUGUGGAAGUUGUAACAUAAGCAAAUGGUGCCUCCUUGACCAUAUCCUCUCUUUGAAAACCUUCACAUCAAAGACAUUAUUUUUACAGAUAAAAUCCACGAAAGAAUAGUCAAAGCACAAGUGGUGGCACAUAGUGGAUAAAUUAAAAGAUUUCCAAUGGAUAAGGACGGGCUUAUCAGCUCCACAAGCCACGUCAUGAAUCCAAUCGCUGUGUACAUGAAAACCAGAUAUAAUUGUUUAUAGAGGGUGGUGGGUUUAAAUUACAAUGAUUCUUUUCCACAGGUUUAAUCAUUUUCUUAAUCCAUAUAGCUCUAAAUGAAUAAUUUGUUUACAGGACACUUUAUUAAAUAAAUUAUAAUUUUCUAUUGCUUCAUUCUUUAUAAUAAGCUUGGAAAGCAAGCUUGAUCAAAGCGAAAGCAUCAAUGAAUUCUAUCUGCUUAGAAACCCACAGAGUCAGUUAAUUCAAUAAAACAAAUGAUAGUCUAAAUCAAUCUAAUGUUCAGUAAUCUAAAUUAAUCUAAUGUUAGGAGAGUUUAAUUAAUCUAAUGUUCAAUAAAACAAAUGAUAUUCUAAAUUAAUCUAAUAUUUGGAAAGAGAAACUCGAAUUACUAAAUUUCAUAAUUCAUUCAUAUGACAUGUCUGAGAAUCCAAAGCUUAAGACUGAAGCUUGAAGACAAAACACAACUUUUUUCAUCAUAAUGUUAAACUAUCCAGAUUAAAUUACAACAUUUUCUUAUAUGUGCAAGACAUUAAUUAUGGAGAAUAAAACACAAUUCAAUCGCAGAAAUGGGGAAAAACAAAAUUGAGGAAAUGAAAUUUACAUUAAUUGAGCCAUGAAAAUGAACUUACAAUAUGAUUAUCCGAGAAAAUUUGACAGAAGAUGCAAAAAGAAAAUUAAAAUUCAUAGACAUUGAUCAAAGAAAGUAAACAACAGCUACCCAAAUUCCCAGCAGCCUCAACAAAUUCUUCUUUUUUAUCUGUACAAAUUUGCAGAACGGGACUUUGGAAAAUCUCCUUCCUUCCUUCACAGUUCAUCACAUCAACUAUUUACAACAGUUUCAAAAUUAACCUCUAUUCACAAAAGGUCAGAAGAAUCAGAAGGCCACUGAUAUUUAACGCAUCAGCCAAAAAAUUGAAUCAAAACGGAACACGAUCGACAAACGAGUUCACACUGCACUCGGGUUUCAUUCACUCACUAGCUCCGAAACCCAGCCCACAUCAGGAGCUGACAUGCCCGAGUCGACUCGGCCGACUCUGCCCAUCGAGUUUUCCUUACUCAGCCUCGCAUACAUUCUCGCUCGGAGAUCCCUCCCGGACUCCACCCUCUCCAUUGCCGGCUCUUCCUCGCAAGGGUGGUCCCAAAUAUCAACCGCCCCGGGUCCAGCCCGACCCGAGGUCCGAGUCGGAGUCGAAGGAAGGCUACAAAACGCGGGUCGGAGCGCAGACCCGCGUGGAGAAGAACCAAACCCAGAUCCCAUUUGUGGGCCCCAUGCAGGCGGAGCACUCAUUUUCAUCUUAGCAAGCUUAAAGUUCCGCAUCGAAGCGACGAGUUCACUCACCGAGUUACAGCCGAGUUGAGGGCUGUUGGGCGACAUUGGUGGCGAGUCAGACGGCGGAGAUAUCGGCGGCGAUAUCAGGAUCGAGGUGGGUGACGAA
rnacentral:lncRNA from 1 species